UCUAUAGAUCUUGAUGCUCAAUAUGUAAGCAGCUUCACCGAGGUCUUUCUUUGAAAAACUCCUUUCAAACACUCGUUUAUGCUUUCUAGAAAAUUCUACAUCAUUUCCGGUCGACAAUAUGUCAUUCACAUAUACUUAUCAGAAAGGCUGUAGUGCUCACACUCAUUUCUUGUAAAUACAGGCUUCACCACAAGUCUGUAUAAAACUAUAUGCUUUGAUCAACUUAUCAAAGUGUAUAUUCCAACUCUGAGAUGCUUGCACCAGUCCAUAGAUGGAUCGCUGGAGCUUGCACAUUUUGUUAGCACCUUUAGGAUUGACAAAACCUUCUGGUUGCAUCAUAUACAACUCUUCUUUAAUAAAUCCAUUAAGGAAUGCAGUUUUGUUAUCCAUUUGCCAGAUUUCAUAAAAUGCUGCAAUUGCUAACAUGAUUUAGACAGACUUAACCAUCGCUAGGAGUGAGAAAAUCUCAUCGUAGUCAACACCUUGAACUUGUCGAAAACCUUUCGCGACAAGUCGAGCUUUGUAGAUAGUAACACUACCAUCAGCGUCCGCCUUCCUCUUGAAGAUCCAUUUAUUCUCAAUGGCUUGCCGAUCAUCGGGCAAUUCCACCAAAGUCCAUACUUUGUUUUCAUACAUGGAUCCUAUCUCAGAUUUCAUGGCCUUAAACCAUUUUGCGGAAUCUAGGCUCAUCAUCACUUCCUCAUAUUUCGUAGGUUCGUCAUGGUCUAGUAACAUGACUUCCAAAACCGGAUUACCGUACCACUUUGGUGCGGAACGUACUCUGGUUGAUGAUACGUCUCCAACGUAUCUAUAAUUUUUUAUUGUUCCAUGCUAUAUUAUAUUCUGUUUUGGAUGUUUAAUGGGAUUUAUUAUACACUUUUAUAUUAUUUUUGGGACUAACCUAUUAACUGGAGGCCCAGCCCAAAUUGCUUUUUUGCCUAUUUCAGUGUUUCGAAGGAAAGGAAUAUCAAACAGAGUCCAAACGGAAUGAAACCUUCGGGAACGUGAUUUUCAGAACAAACGUGAUCUAGAGGACUUGGAGUGGAUGUCAAGCAAUCAACGAGGAGGCCACGAGGCAGGGGGCGCGCCUACCCCCCUGGGCGCGCCCUCCACACUCGUGGGCCCCUCGUAGCUCCACCGACCUACUUCUUCCUCCUAUAUAUACCUACGUACCCCCAAACCAUCAUCAGAGGAGCAAAAACCCUAUUUCCACCGCCGCAACCUUCUGUACCUGUGAGAUCCCAUCUUGGGGCCUUUUCCGGCGCUCCGCCGGAGGGGGCAUAGAUCACGGAGGGCUUCUACAUCAACACCAUAGCCUCUCCGAUGAUGUGUGAGUAGUUUACCUCAGACCUUCGGGUCCAUAGUUAUUAGCUAGAUGACUUCUUCUCUCUCUUUGGAUCUCAAUACAAAGUUCUCCUCGAUUCUCUUGGAGAUCUAUUUGGUGUAACUCUACUUUUUGCGGUGUGUUUGUCGAGAUCCCAUGAAUUGUGGGUUUAUGAUCAAGAUUAUCUAUGAACAAUAUUUGAAUCUCCUCUGAAUUCUUUUAUGUAUGAUUGGUUAUCUUUGCAAGUCUCUUUGAAUUAUUAGUUUGGUUUGGCCUACUAGAUUGAUCUUUCUUGCAAUGGGAGAAGUGCUUAGCUUUGGGUUCAAUCUUAUGGUGCUCGAUCCCAGUGACAAUGGGAGGCAUCCACAUAGAGUCAUACUUUGUUCUAAGUUUUGAGUUGUAAAGAAAAUAAAAGUGUGAUGAUCAUCAUUUUUAGAGCAUUGUCCCAAGUGAGGAAAGGAUGAUGGAGACUAUGAUUCCCCCAUAAAUCGGGAUGAGACUCCGGACUAAAAAAAAGAGAAAGGCCAUAAAAAAUUAAAAAAAUCAAAAAUGAGAGAAAAAAGAGAGAAGGGACAAUGCUACUAUCCUUUUACCACACUUGUGCUUCAAAGUAGCACCAUGAUCUUCAUGAUAGAGAAUCUCCUAUGAUAUCACUUUCAUAUACUAGUGGGAAAUUUUCAUUAUAGAACUUGGCUUGUAUAUUCCAAUGAUGGGCUUCCUCAAAAUGCCCUAGGUCUUCGUGAGCUAGCGAGUUGGAUGCACACCCACUUAGUUUCUUUUGUUGAGCUUUCAUAUACUUAUAGCUCUAGUGCAUCCAUUGCAUGGCAAUCCCUACUCACUCACAUUGAUAUCUAUUGAUGGGAAUCUCCAUAGCCCGUUGAUAUGCCUAGUUGAUGUGAGACUAUCUUCUCCUUUUUUUCUCUUCUCCACAACCACCAUUCUAUUCCACAUAUAGUGCUAUGUCCAUGGCUCACGCUCAUGUAUUGCGUGAAGAUUAAAAAGUUUGAGAACACCAAAAGUAUGAAACAAUUGCUUGGCUUGUCAUCGGGGUUGUGCAUGAUUUAAAUAUUUUGUGAGAUGAAGAUAGAGCAUAGCCAGACUAUAUGAUUUUGUAGGGAUAACUUUCUUUGGCCAUGUUAUUUUGAGAAGACAUAAUUGCUUAGUUAGUAUGCUUGAAGUAUUAUUAUUUUUAUGUCAAUAUUAAACUUUUGUCUUGAAUCUUUCGGAUCUGAACAUUCAUACCACAAUUAAGAGAAUUACAUUGAAAAUUAUGCCAAGUAGCAUUCCACAUCAAAAAUUCUGUUUUUAUCAUUUACCUACUCGAGGACGAGUAAGAAUUAAGCUUGGGGAUGCUUGAUACGUCUAUAAUUUUUGAUUGUUCCAUGCUAUAUUAUAUUCUAUUUUGGAUGUUUAAUGGGCUUUAUUAUACACUUUUAUGUUAUUUUUGGAACUAACCUAUUAACCGAAGGCCCAGCCCAAAUUGCUGUUUUUUGCCUAUUUCAGUGUUUCGCAGAAAAAGAAUAUCAAACAGAGUCCAAACGGAAUGAAACCUUCGGGAACGUGAUUUUCGGAACAAACGUGAUCCAGAGGACUUGGAGUCUACGUCAAGCAAUCAAGAUGGAGAGCACGAGGCAGGGGGCGCGCUGCUACCUCUUGAGCACUGCGUUGGUUUUCCCUUGAAGAGGAAAGGAUGAUGCAGCAAAGUAGCGUAAGUAUUUCCCUCAGUUUUUGAGAACCAAGGUAUCAAUCCAGUAGGAGGCUACGCGCGAGUCCCUCGCACCUACACAAACAAAUAAAUCCUAGCAACCAACACGAUAAGGGGUUGUCAAUCCCUACACGGUCACUUACGAGAGUGAGAUCUGAUAGAUGUGAUAGGAUAAUUUUUUUGGUAUUUUUAUAAUAAAGAUGCAAAGUAAAAUAAAAGCAAAGUAAAAAGCAACGGAAAUAACUAAGUGUUGGAAGAUUAAUAUGAUGAAGAUAGACCCGGGGGCCAUAGGUUUCACUAGUGGCUUCUCUCAAGAGCAUAAGUAUUUUACGGUGGGUGAACAAAUUACUGUUGAGCAAUUGACAGAAUUGAGCAUAGUUAUGAGAAUAUCUAGGUAUGAUCAUGUAUAUAGGCAUCACGUCCGAGACAAGUAGACCGACUCCUGCCUGCAUCUACUACUAUUACUCCACACAUCGACCGCUAUGCAACAUGCAUCUAGAGUAUUAAGUUCAUAAGAACAGAGUAACGCCUUAAGCAAGAUGACAUGAUGUAGAGGGAUAAUUCAUGCAAUAUUAUAAAAAACCCAUCUUGUUAUCCUCGAUGGCAACAAUACAAUACGUGCCUUGAUGCCCCUACUGUCACUGGGAAAGGACACCGCAAGAUUGAACCCAAAGGUAAGCACUUCUCCCAUUGCAAGAAAGAUCAAUCUAGUAGGCCAAACCAAACUGAUAAUUCGAAGAGACUUGCAAAGAUAACCAAUCAUACAUAAAAGAAUUCAGAAGAUUCAAAUAUUGUUCAUAGAUAAACUUGAUCAUAAACCCACAAUUCAUCGGUCGCAACAAACACACCGCAAAAGAAGAUUACAUCGAAUAGAUCUCCACGAGAGAGGGGGAGAACAUUGUAUUGAGAUCCAAAAAGAGAGAAGAGGCCAUCUAGCUAAUAACUAUGGACCCGAAGGUCUGAGGUAAACUACUCGCACUUCAUCGGAGAGGCUAUGGUGUGAUGUAGAAGCCCUCCGUAUUCGAUGCCCCCUCCGGCGGAGCUCCGGAACAGGCCCCAAGAUGGGAUCUCGUCGGUACAGAAGGUUGCGGCAGUGGAAUUAGGUUUUUGGCUCCGUAUCUGAUCGUUUGGGGGUACGUAGGUAUAUAUAGGAGGAAGGAGUACGUCGGUGGAGCAACAUGGGGCCCACGAGGGUGGAGGGCGCGCCCAGGGGGUAGGCGCGCCCCCUACCUCGUGGCUUCCUGGAAGCUUCCUUGAUGUAGGGUCCAAGUCUCCUGGAUCAUGUUCGUUCCAAAAAUCAUGUUCCCGAAGGUUUCAUUCCGUUUGGACUCCGUUUGAUAUUCUUUUUCUGCGAAACUCUGAAAUCGGCAAAAACAGCAAUUCUGGGCUGGGCCUCCGGUUAAUAGGUUAGUCCCAAAAAUAAUAUAAAAGUGAAUAAUAAAGCCCAAUAAUGUCCAAAACUAAAGAUAAUAUUGCAUGGAGCAAUCAAAAAUUAUAGAUACGUUGGAGACGUAUCAAGCAUCCCCAAGCUUAAUUCCUGCUCGUCCUCGAGUAGGUAAAUGAUAAAAACAGAAUUUUUGAUGUGGAAUACUACUAGGCAUAAUUUCAAUGUAAUUCUUCUUAAUUGUGGUAUGAAUAUUCAGAUCCGAAAUAUUCAAGCUAAAAGUUCGAUAUCGACAUAAAAAUAAUAAUACUUCAAGCAUACUAACUAAGCAAUUAUGUCCUCUCAAAAUAACAUGGCCAAAGAAAGUUCAUCCCUACAAAAUCAUAUAGUUUAGUCCUGCUCCAUCUUCGUCAUACAAGAAUGCUCUCAUCAUGUACAACCCCGAUGACAAGCCAAGCAAUUGUUUCAUACUUUAGUAAUCUCAAACUUUUUCAACCUUCACGCAAUACAUGAGCGUGAGCCAUGGAUAUAGCACUAUGGGUGGAAUAGAGUAUGAUGAUGGGGGUUAUGUGGAGAAGACAAAAAAAGGAGAAAGUCUCACAUCAACGAGGCUAAUCAAUGAGCUAUGGAGAUGCCCAUCGAUUGAUGUUAAUGCAAGGAGUAGGGACUGCCAUGCAACGGAUGCACUAGAGCUAUAACUAUAUGAAAGCUCAACAAAAGAAACUAAGUGGGUGUGCAUCCAACUUGCUUGCUCACGAAGACCUAGGGCACUUGAGGAGGCCCAUUGUUGGAAUAUACAAGCCAAUUUCUAUAAUGAAAAAUUCCCACUAGUAUAUGAAAGUGACAAAACAGGAGACUCUCUAUCAUGAAGAUUAUGGUGCUACUUUGAAGCACAAGUGUGGUAAAGGAUAGUAACAUUGUCCCUCCUCUCUUUUUCUCUCAUUUUUUUGGGCCUUCUCUUUUUUUAUGGCGUUUCUCUCUCUUUUUUUUAUUCCUCACUUGGGACAAUGCUCUAGAAAAUGAUGAUCAUCACACUUCUAUUAUUUACAACUCAAUGAUUACAACUCGAUACUAGAACAAAGUAUGACUCUAUAUGAAUGCCUCCGGCGGUGUACCGGGAUAUGCAAUGAACCAAGAGUGACAUGUAUGAAAGAAUUAUGAACGGUGGCUUUGCCACAAAUACUAUGUCAACUACAUGCUCAUGCAAAGCAACAUGACAAUGAUGAAGCGUGUCAUAAUAAAUGGAACAGUGGAAAGUUGCAUGGCAAUAUAUCUCGGAAUGGCUAUGGAAAUGCCAUAAUAGGUAGGUAUGGUGGCUGUUUUGAGGAAGAUAUAAGGAGGUUUAUGUGUGAAAGAGCAUAUCAUAUCACGGGGUUUGGAUGCACCGGCGAAGUUUGCACCAACUCUCAAUGUGAGAAAGGGCAAUGCACGGUACCGAAGAGGCUAGUAAUGAUGGAAAGGUGAGAGUGCGUAUAAUCCAUGGACUCAACAUUAGUCAUAAAGAACUCACAUACUUAUUGCAAAAAUCUACAAGUCAUCAAAAACCAAGCACUACGUGCAUGCUCCUAGGGGGAUAGAAUUGUAGGAAAAGACCAUCGCUCGUCCCCGACCGCCACUCAUAAGGAGGACAAUCAAAGAACACCUCAUGUUUCAAAUUUGUUACAUAACGUUUACCAUAUGUGCAUGCUACGGGACUUGCAAACUUCAACAAAAGUAUUUCUCAAAUUCACAAUUACUCAACUAGCACGACUUUAAUAUCACUACCUCCAUGUCUCAAAACAAUCAUCAAGCAUCAAACUUCUCUUAGUAUUCAAAACACUCAUAAGAAAGUUUUUACUAAUCUUGAAUACCUAGCAUAUUAGGUUUAUUUAAGAAAAUUACCAUGCUAUUUAAGACUCUCAAAAUAAUCUAAGUGAAGCAUGAGAGAUCAAUAGUUUCUAUAAAACAAAUCCACCACCGUGCUCUAAAAGAUAUAAGUGAAGUACUAGAGCAAAAACUAUAUAACUCAAAAGAUAUAAGUGAAGCACAUAGAGUAUUCUAAUAAUUUCCGAAUCAUGUGUGUCUCUCUCAAAAGGUGUGUACAGCAAGGAUGAUUGUGGUAAACUAAAAAGCAAAGACUCAAAUCAUACAAGACACUCCAAGCAAAACACAUAUCAUGUGGUGAAUAAAAAUAUAGCUCCAAGUAAAGUUACCAAUGGAAGUAGACGAAAGAGGGGAUGCCUUACGGGGCAUCCCCAAGCUUUGGAUUUUUUGUGUACUUAGAUUAUCUUGGGGGUGCCAUGGGCAUCCCCAAGCUUAGGCUCUUGCCACUCCUUGUUCCAUAAUGCAUCAAAUCUUUCACCCAAAACUUAAAAACUUCACAACACAAAACUUAACAGAAAAUCUCGUCAGCUCCGUUAGCGAAAGAAAACAAAAGACCACUUCAAGGUACUGUAAUGAACUCAUUCUUUAUUUAUAUUGGUAUUAAACCUACUGUAUUCCAACUUCUCUAUGGUUUAUAAACUCUUUUACUAACCAUAGAAUCAUCAAAAUAGGCAAACAACACACGAAAAACAGAAUCUGUCAAAAACAGAACAGUCUGUAGUAAUCUGUAACUAACGCAAACUUCUGGAACUCCAAAAAAUCAGCCAAAAUAGAAAGACCUAGACAAUUUGUUUAUUCAUCAGUAGUAAUUGGAAUCAAUAUUUUAUCACGUUCUGGUGAUUUUAACAAUUGUUUUUGUCAACAGAAAGUUUCUGGAAUUUUCUGCGAGAUCAAAUAACUAUCAUCCAAGAAGAUUCUAUAGGUUUAACUUGGCACAAACACUAAUUAAAACAUAAAAACACAUCUACCAGUGGCUAGAUCAAAUAUUUGUUCCUAAACAGAAGCAAAAAGCAAAAAACUAAAAAAAUAAAAUUGGGUUGCCUCCCAACAAGCGCUAUCGUUUAACGCCCCUAGCUAGGCAUAAAAGCAAGGAUAGAUUUAGGUAUUGCCAUCUUUGGUGGGCAAUCCAUAAGUGGCUCUCAUGAUAGAUUCAUAUGGUAGUUUUAUUUUCUUCCUAGGGAAGUGUUCCAUGCCUUUCUUUAAUGGAAAUUGGAAUCUAAUAUUCUCUUCCUUCAUAUCAAUAAUUGCACCAAUCGUUCUAAGGAAAGGUCUACCAAAAAUAAUAGGACAUGAAGGAUUGCAAUCUAUAUCAAGAACAAUAAAAUCUACGGGCACAUAGUUCCUAUUUGCAACAAUAAGAACAUCAUUAAUUCUUCCAAUAGGUUUCUUAAUAGUGGAAUCCGCAAGGUGCAAGUUUAAAGAGCAAUCAUCAAAAUCACGGAAACCUAGCAAAUCGCACAAAGUUUUUGGAAUCGUGGAAACUCUAGCACCCAAAUCACACAAAGCAUAGCAUUCAUGAUCUUUAAUCUUAAUUUUAAUAGUAGGUUCCCACUCAUCAUAAAGUUUUCUAGGGAUAGAAACUUCCAACUCAAGCUUUUCUUCAUAAGAUUGCAUCAAGGCAUCAACGAUAUGUUUGGUAAAAGCUUUAUUUUGACUAUAAGCAUGAGGAUAAUUUAGCACGGAUUGCAACGAGGAAAUACAAUCUAUCAAAGAGCAAUUAUCAUAAUUAAAUUCCUUGAAAUCCAAAAUAGUGGGUUUAUUAAUAUCUAGGGUUUUGAUUUCUUCAAUCCCACUUAUAUCAAUUUUAGCAUCAAGAUCUAGAAACUCCGAAUUUUUGGAACGCCUUCUAGGAAAAGGUGGAUCAUAUUCAGUCCCAUCAUUAUCAAGAUUCAUAUUGCAAAACAAGGAUUUAAUAGGGGACACAUCAAUAACUUUUAGAUCUUCAUCUUUAUUUUCAUAGAAAUCCGGUUUAGCAGCCAUCUUAUUAACUAAGGUAGCCUGCUUAUCCGAUAUUUCAGCUAUCAACUUUUCAAGACGAGCAAUUUGGGAUCUCAAACCAUCAAAUUCUAUAGACAUAUCAUCGAGCUCUUUAUUCAUAUAACUCAUAAAGCUUUUUUGUUCCUUAAGAUCGUUUCUGAAGAAAUUAUUAUGCUCAAAUUGCAAAACCAUAAAACUCCUGACGUUGCUUUCGAUCUCUUCUAACCUUUUAAGGUCAAGAUCACCAAAUCUAGGUAGAGCCAUCGUGACAAACAAGCAAUCCAACACACGAGCAAACAAGAAGCAAGCGAAAAAGAGGCGAACGGAAAAGAGAGGGCGAAUAAAACGGCAAGGGUGAAGUGGGGGAGAGGAAAACGAGAGGCAAAUGGCAAAUAAUGUAAUGCGGGAGAUAAGGGUUUGUGAUGGGUACUUGGUAUGUUGACUUUUGCGUAGACCUCCCCGGCAACGGCGCCAGAAAUGGCUCGUUGUUGGGAGUCCAAAUCUUUACUUGACCUUGCGUAAGCCUCCCCGGCAACGGCGCCAGAAAUCCUUCUUGCUACCUCUUGAGCACUGCGUUGGUUUUCCCUUGAAGAGCAAAGGGUGAUGCAGCAAAGUAGCGUAAGUAUUUCCCUCAGUUUUUGAGAACCAAGGUAUCAAUCCAGUAGGAGGCUACGCGCGAGUCCCUCGCACCUACACAAACAAAUAAAUCCUCGCAACCAACGCGAUAAGGGGUUGUCAAUCCCUACACGGUCACUUGCGAGAGUGAGAUCUGAUAGAUGUGAUAGGAUAAUAUUUUUGGUAUUUUUAUGAUAAAGAUGCAAAGUAAAAAAGCAACGGAAAUAACUAAGUGUUGGAAGAUUAAUAUGAUGAAGAUAGACCCAGGCGCCAUAGGUUUCACUAGUGGCUUCUCUCAAGAGCAUAAGUAUUUUACGGUGGGUGAACAAAUUACUGUUGAGCAAUUGACAGAAUUGAGCAUAGUUAUGAGAAUAUCUAGGUAUGAUCAUGUGUAUAGGCAUCACGUCCGAGACAAGUAGACCGACUCCUGCCUGCAUCUACUACUAUUACUCCACACAUCGACCGCUAUCCAGCAUGCAUCUAGAGUAUUAAGUUCAUAAGAACAGAGUAACGCCUUAAGCAAGAUGACAUGAUGUAGAGGGAUAAAUUCAUGCAAUAUGAUAAAAACCUCAUCUUGUUAUCCUCGAUGGGAACAAUACAAUAUGUGCCUUGCUGCCCCUACUGUUACUAGGAAAGGACACCGCAAGAUUGAACCCAAAGCUAAGCACUUCUCCCAUUGCAAGAAAGAUCAAUCUAGUAGGCCAAACCAAACUGAUAAUUCGAAGAGACUUGCAAAGAUAACCAAUCAUACAUAAAAGAAUUCAGAAUAUUCAAAUAUUGUUCAUAGAUAAACUUGAUCAUAAACCCACAAUUCAUCGGUCUCAACAUACACACCGCAAAAGAAGAUUACAUCGAAUAGAUCUCCGCGAGAGAGGGGGAGAACAUUGUAUUGAGAUCCAAAAAGAGAAAAGAAGCCAUCUAGCUAAUAACUAUGGACCCGAAGGUCUGAGGUAAACUACUCACACUUCAUCGGAGAGGCUAUGGUGUUGAUGUAGAAGCCCUCCGUGAUCGAUGCCCCCUCCGGCGGACCUCCGAAAUAGGCCCCAAGAUGGGAUCUCGUGGGUACAGAAGGUUGCGGCGGUGGAAUUAGGUUUUUGGCUCCGUAUCUAAUCGUUUGGGGGUACGUAGGUAUAUAUAGGAGGAAGGAGUACGUCGGUGGAGCAACAUGGGGCCCACGAGGGUGGAGGGCGCCCCCAGGGGGGUAGGCGCGCCCCCCUACCUCGUGGCUUCCUGGAAGCUUCCUUGACGUAGGGUCCAAGUCUCCUGGAUCAUGUUCGUUCCAAAAAUCAUGUUCCCGAAGGUUUCAUUCCGUUUGGACUCCGUUUGAUAUUCUUUUUCUGCGAAACUCUGAAAUAGGCAAAAAACAGCAAUUCUGGGCUGGGCCUCCGGUUAAUAGGUUAGUCCCAAAAAUAAUAUAAAAGUGAAUAAUAAAGCCCAAUAAUGUCCAAAACAGAAGAUAAUAUAUCAUGGAGCAAUCAAAAAUUAUGGAUACGUUGGAGACGUAUCACGCGCCUACCCCCCACCCCCAGGCGCGCCCUCCAUCCUCGUGGGUCCCACGUUGCUCCACCGACAUACUUCUUCCUCCUAUAUAUACCUACGUACCCCCAAACCAUCAGAGGCAUCCACGAAAACCUAAUUCCACCGCCGCAACCUUCUGUACCCGUGAGAUCCCAUCUUGGGGCCUUUUCCGGCGUGCUGCCGGAGGGGGCAUUGAUCACGGAGGGCUUCUACAUCAACACCAUAUCCUCUCCGAUGAUGUGUGAGUAGUUUACCUCAGACCUUCGGGUCCAUAGUUAUUAGCUGGAUGGCUUCUUCUCUUUCUUUGGAUCUCAAUACAAAGUUCUCCACGAUUCUCGUGGAGAUCUAUUAGAUGUAAUCUUCUUUUGCGGUGUGUUUGACGGGACCGAUGAAUUGUGGGUUUAUGAUCAAGUUUAUCUAUGAACAAUAUUUGAAUCUUCUCUGAAUUCUCUUAUGUAUGAUUGGUUAUCUUUGCAAGUCUCUUCGAAUUAUCAGUUUGGUUUGUCCUACUAGAUUGAUCUUUCUUGCAAUGGGAGAAUUGCUUAGCUUUGGGUUCAAUCUUGCGGUGUCCUUUCCCAGUGACAGCAGGGGCAGCAAGGCACGUAUUGUAUUGUUGCCAUCGAGGAUAACAAGAUGGGGUUUAUAUCAUAUUGCAUGAGUUUAUGCCUCUACAUCAUGUCAUCUUACUUAAAGCGUUACUCCGUUCUUAUGAACUUAAUACUCUAGAUGCAUGCUGGAUAGCGGUCGAUGUGUGGAGUAAUAGUAGUAGAUGCAGGCAGGAGUCGGUCUACUUGUCACGGACGUGAUGCCUAUAUACAUGAUCAUACCUAGAUAUUCUCAUAACUAUGCUCAAUUCUAUCAAUUGCUCGACAGUAAUUCGUUUACCCACCGUAAUACUUAUGCUAUCUUGAGAGAAGCCACUAGUGAAACCUAUGGCCCCCGGGUCUAUUUUCCAUCAUAUUAAUCUCCUGACAACUAGCUAUUUCUGGCGCCGUUUAUUUUGCUUUCUUUAGUUUUACUCUUUACCAUAAAAACACCAAAAAUAUUAUCUUAUCAUCUCUAUCAGAUCUCACUCUCGUAAGUGAGCGUGAAGGGAUUGACAACCCCUUUAUCACGUUGGUUGCGAGGUUCUUAUUUGUUUGUGUAGGUGCGUGGGACUCGAGCGUGGUCUCCUACUGGAUUGAUAUCUUGGUUCUCAAAAACUGAGGGAAAUACUUACGCUACUUUACUGCAUCACCCUUUCCUCUUCAAGGGAAAACCAACGCAGUGCUCAAGAGGUAGCAAGAAGGAUUUCUGCCGCCGUUGCCGGGGAGUCUACGCACAAGUCAAGACAUACCAAGUACCCAUCACAAACUCUUAUCCCUCGCAUUACAUUAUUUUCCAUUUGCCUCUCGUUUUCCUCUCCCCCACUUCACCCUUGCCGUUUUAUUCACCUUUUCUUCGCCUUCUUCCCGUAUGUCCUUUUGUUUGUGUUUCCAUGUGCCUUCUAUUUGCUUGCAUCUUUACUUGCUAAAAAUCUAUUGAUAUGGAUCCACUUAAAGUGUUCUACUUGGAUCAUCUUCAAUCCUUAUUGCCCUCGUGUUGAAACCCCAACUAGCCUAGUUGAUGGGAAAUCUUUAGAUGAGCAUGCUCAUUUUGUGCUUCACCGUUUGUCUGAAAAAGGGAAACUCUUAUGGGGUCAAAUAAACAGAUUGUUGUGUUAUGCUUGGAAUCUUUGUGAAAUUCAUGAUUUUACUUGUUGCUCUAAGAACCCUAAAAAACACCUUCCCUACCUAUGUGAGUUUAAAGAAAAUGAAAUCUUAUCUUCUUAUGCAAAGGGUGUUUAUAGUUACUAUGAUAUCGAACAAAUUGAAGAAUUUGUUGCUUUUAAGCGUGCUUAUGAAGUAGCUUCUUUGAUUGAAAAGUAUGAUAUUACUCUCUACGAAUCUGAAAUUUUUGACAUACUUAAAUAUUGCUAUGAAAACUAUGCUCAUAAUGUCUAUGUCAAAGAAUUUAUUGAGAGAAUGACCGUUGCUUUGGAAGAAAAUAAUGAUAUGCAUGAAUCUAUGGAUAAUGAUGAUUCCGAUGAUUUGAUUGAAAUAUCCCUUGAUGAACAUGAUGCUUUCUACUCUUGUGGCCAUGAUGCCAAUCUUUAUGAAGAUGAAUUUUCUAUAGUUCCUUAUGUUAAAUAUGAGAUCGUUGCUAUUGCACCCAUACUUGGUAGUUCCUUCGAUGAAAAGCAUGAUUGCAAUGAUGUUAUUAUAAAUUCUCUUAAUGCCAAUUGUGCUAAUAAUAUGCAAAACCCUAAGCUUGGGGAUGAUAGUUUUGCUACAUCUACUACUUGUUGCAAUGAUCAUGAUUGGGGUGAUUCUUCUUAUGAUCUUGAAAAUUUAUUUAAGCCCCAUGAUGAAUAUGAGAUUGAUAUUAGUGUUUGCAAUAGUAUUGAAAGUGGGUUUGGAAGAGUGUCAACUUUAGAUCCCACAUAUUUGGAGAAUGUUCAAUCUUAUGAAUUUUUUUGAUAAAAGUGGGUUUGGAGAGGUCAUGACUUUAGUUAAUGUUAAUCCCACUAUUUUGGAAGAGUGUCAACUUUGCAUGCAUGUGGAUCGUGUUGAAAAUAUUUUAUGUGAUAGCUAUUUUGUUGAAUUUGAUUAUGACCCUACAUGUAAUUAUUAUGAGAAAGGAAAAUAUGGUUGUAGAAAUUUUCAUGUUACAAAAUUACCUCUCGUUAUAUUGAGAUUGCUAUUGUUCCUUUCUUCUUCCAACAAUCGGAGUGACAAAUCCUAAUCUCGAUCUAUGCCAACUGAACAAACAGCAUCGGAGACACCUGUAGAUCAUCUUUAUAAUUCCCAGUUACGUUGUGACGUUUGAUAGAACACAAAGUGUUCCUCCGGUAUUCGGGAGUUGCAUAAUCUCAUAGUCAUAGGAACAUGUAUAAGUCAUGAAGAAAGCAAUAGCAAUAAACUAAACGAUCAUAGUGCUAAGCUAACGGAUGGGUCUAGUCCAUCACAUCAUUCUCUAAUGAUGUGAUCCCGUUCAUCAAAUGACAACACAUGUCUAUGGUUAGGAAACUUAACCAUCUUUGAUUAACGAGCUAGUCUGGUAGAGGCAUACUAGGGACACUCUAUUUGUCUAUGUAUUCACACAUGUACUAAGUUUCCGGUUAAUACUAUUCUAGCAUGAAUAAUAAACAUUUAUCAUGAUAUAAGGAAAUAUAAAUAACAACUUUAUUAUUGCCUCUAGGGCAUAUUUCCUUCAACAGUAACUGAUCGACCUGUCGUGGGGUGAGCCGUUUCGAUUAAGUUGUCAGGCUAAGUGGAACUGUUCACACCGAGAUGGCUGGCCUUAGGGGCUAAGUUAUCCGAUCUCUUCGGACAAAGGGUACAAGUUCGGUUGAGCCUCGGCCGACAUCGCUCCUUUGAAGGAGUGAUCCAAGGAUUGUAAGGUGGAACUCGUCUGUCGAGCCAAGGACUCCGGAUCCCAGGUUGUUGUUGUCAGGAAGGUCGUCCUCGGCAUAUAAGACCAGUUCGGGGGCUACUGACGGUGUCCUGGAUAAGGGGUUACUAACCUAGUCGGCCCAUGCUCCUCGGGCUGGGCCGAUGGGCCCUCGCUUGUACUCAAGAUGGACUCCGGAGGCCGUACGUAGGAGGCGUGAUCAAGACUACCUCCACCGAAGACUUGAUGUAUGCUCCAAGAUCUCUCAUGCCGCCUUGCUCCUAGAUACCGACCUUGUAACCCUAGAUGCCAUCCUUGGCGUAUAUAUAAGCCAUAGGGUUUAGCCCGUAAAGGGGAGAUCAACGCAAUAUCAUUCACCUAACCGUAGAGUUAGUCCACAUAUUACAAUCUCAAGGUAGAUCGACUCUGUACUCGAUAUAUCUUCAUCAGUAUAAACAAGAGUAAAACGUACGGUUUUACCUCCAUAGAGAGGGCCCAAACCUGGGUAAACAUCGUCUCCUUCGUUCCUAUCACCCUUGAUCCGAGAUCCAUAGCUCGGGACCCCCUACCUCGAGGUCUGCCGGUUUUGACACCGAAAAUCAGUUUCAUAUUUCUUGCUUUCUCGAGGUCAUGAUAAAUGAAGAGAAUCGUAUCGUCGGCAUACUGAAGUAUAGAGAUACCAUCAUCAACUAGAUGAUUUACUACCCCAUUAAUUUGGCCCAACCCUGGCAUGCCCAAUCAUGACCGCUAGCAUAUCCACCACUAUAUUGAAUAGCAUCGGCGAUAACGAUGUUGGAAAUAUGCCCUAGAGGCAAUAAUAAAUGGUUAUUAUUAUAUUUCCUUGUUCAUGAUAAUUGUCUAUUGUUCAUGCUAUAAUUGUGUUAUCCGAAAAUCGUAAUACAUGUGUGAAUACAUAGACCACAACAUGUCCCUAGUAAGCCUCUAGUUGACUAGCUCGUUGAUCAACAGAUAGUCAUGGUUUCCUGACUAUGGAGAUUGGAUGUCAUUGAUAACGAGAUCACAUCAUUAGGAGAAUGAUGUGAUGGACAAGACCCAAUCCUAAGCAUAGCACAAAAGAUCAUGUAGUUCGUUUGCUAGAGCUUUUCCAAUGUCAAGUAUCAUUUCGUUAGACCAUGAGAUCGUGUAACUCCCGGAUGCCGUAGGAGUGCUUUGGGUGUACCAAACGUCACAACGUAACUGGGUGACUAUAAAGGUACACUACGGGUAUCUCUGAAAGUGUCUGUUGGGUUGACACGGAUCGAGACUGGGAUUUGUCACUCCGUAUGACGGAGAGGUAUCUCUGGGCCCACUCGGUAAUGCAUCAUCAUAAUGAGCUCAAUGUGACUAAGGAGUUAGCCUCGGGAUCAUGCAUUACGGUACGAGUAAAGAGACUUGCCGGUAACGAGAUUGAACAAGGUAUUGGGAUACCGACGAUCGAAUCUCGGGCAAGUAACGUACCGAUUGACAAAGGGAAUUGUAUACGGGAUUGAUUGAAUCCUCGACAUCGUGGUUCAUCCGAUGAGAUCAUCGUGGAACAUGUGGGAGCCAACAUCGGUAUCCAGAUCCCGCUGUUGGUUAUUGACCGGAGAGGCGUCUCAGUCAUGUCUGCAUGUCUCCCGAACCCGUAGGGUCUACACACUUAAGGUUCGGUGACGCUAGGGUUGUAGAGAUAUUAGUAUGCGGAAACCCGAAAGUUGUUCGGAGUCCCGGAUGAGAUCCCGGACGUCACGAGGAGUUCCGGAAUGGUCCGGAGGUGAAGAAUUAUAUAUAGGAAGUCCAGUUUCGGCCACCGGGAAAGUUUCGGGGGUUAUCGGUAUUGUACCGGGACCACCGGAAGGGUCCCGGGGGUCCACCGGGUGGGGCCACCUAUCCCGGAGGGCCCCAUGGGCCGAAGUGGGAAGGGAACCAGCCCUUAGUGGGCUGGGGCGCCCCCCCUUGGGCCUCCCCCUGCGCCUAGGGUUGGAAACCCUAGGGGUGGGGGGCGCCCCACUUGCCUUGGGGGGCAAGCCACCCCCUUGGCCGCCGCCUCCCCUCAGAUGGGAUCUCCAGGGUGGCCGGCGCCCCCCCCAGGACCCCUAUAAAUAGUGGGGGAGAGGGAGGGCAGCAACAACACAGCCCCUAGCGCCUCCCUCUCCCCCUGCGCAACACCUCUCCCUCCCGCUUGUGCUUGGCGAAGCCCUGCCGGGAUCCCCGCUACUUCCACCACCACGCCGUCGUGCUGCUGGAUCUCCAUCAACCUCUCCUUCCCCCUUGCUGGAUCAAGAAGGAGGAGACGUCGCUGCUCCGUACGUGUGUUGAACGCGGAGGUGUCGUCCGUUCGGCACUCCACUAGUAGGAAAAGGGGCUUUUACCCCGGUUCAUAAGGGCCUUUAGUCCCGGUUCUUACACGAACCGGGACUAAAGGCCGUCCACGUGGCCGGUGCGGGGAGCCCAGGCAGCAGGGCCUUUGGUCCCGGUUGGUGCCACCAACCGUUAGCAAUAGGCAUCCAUGCGUCAGCACCUGGCAGGAGUUGAGGUUUUUGUUUUUUUUUGAAAGGGGUUGGAUUAGGGGUUUUGGGGGUUAAUUUAGGUGUUUCAUAUAUUGUGUUAGCUAGCUAAUUAAUAGAGAGAAGUGUCCUCUCUUAUCUCCGUGCUUGGUCAAUGCUACGUACUAUAUACGUAUGGAGAGGAGUAGACACGCUAGCUAGUAAUCAAAUGAAGGAAACAAAAGAUCGUCAUGAACAUAUGCAUACAGAGAGAAGUGAUAUCGACCACCUCUCCUUCUCCGAGAUAUUGGUCGAACAACAAGUUCUCGUAUAUCUAUCCGACACUACCGGCUACAUAUAUACAAUAAUUAUCUCUUACAAUACAAUCUCCUAAUUAUAUUGUAGGAACACAGGGUCCACAUAGUAUUCUCCGUUUUCAGCGAUCACGUGGUCAAGGAAGAAUGCCGCCAAUUCCUCUUGAAUUGCUCGCAUACGAUGUUCUGCUAGGAGUUCAUCCCGCAUCCGAAAGAUCUAAUUUGAAGAAGGGGGUCAAUACAUAUAUAUAUAUAUAUAUAUAUAUAUGAAUAAAUGAAACUCAACACAAAUGAUGGUAAUAAAAUAAAAUUGUGAAUAUUAUUGCUUACGCACUUCAUAUUGUUCUUCAGUGUAGCCCCGCUCACAGGUCGUGUGGUGGAUGGACUCGCAAACGUAGUAUCCACAGUAAUUAUUCCCGGGUUCCUGCCACAACCACUUUACAAGAAAUAGAGGUCAAUCAAACUGAUAAGCAAGCAUGCUAAAUGGUAUUGAUGAAACUAGCGCUUGAAUCACUAGGAGAUGCGCGGAACAUGCUACUAUGGUACUUACUUUCAGGUGUCUAAAUUGCAGCUUCUUCGGGAGUCCCGGAGCUUUUGAGGUGAAUUUUCUCCAAACCCUGCGAGACAAAGAAAACAAUUACUUGAUAUCAGGAAAUGAACAAAGUUGCUGAUAUGGUGGAUAAUGAUCGAUUUAACUUACUUCUGGAGCAUUUGAGUCAUGUUCGCAUAGUCCUGGGGAUCUUUUCGUCUCGAGUCUAAGACGGUUACUACUCCCGGCUCAAGCUUAAUCUCUAGGAGAAUAUAGUGGAAGCUACGCAUGCAUGCAUAAGUCAUCAAUUACAUUACCAUAACCUGGACUAAUAAGGGAAACCGAAUAUGCACAAGACAGUAACACUCACUUGAAGUUGUAAGGAAAGAGUAUUAUAUCUUUGUUUUGAUUUAAUACCAACGAUUGUAGCAAGUUGGCCUCGGCUUCUUUGGGAUUUUUUUCAACCGUAUAUGCAUCUAUGAGAUUUGUGUUAAUGAACCCAAUAUCACCGAUUUGUCUUUUCUUCAAUUCGGCGAUCUUCAAUCUGCAUAAUAUAGUGAGGAUAAGUAUAAAUACAUGCAAUGAAAGAGCUGACCUAUAUAGAGAGACUUAAUGACAGAAGUAGUACUACUUACACACAGUAGCAAGUGAUCGUUGUUUUAUCGAGGGACUUUUGAUUGUAAAACUGUAAGAAAUCCUCAAAUGGAACAUUCAGCAGUUCAAUUCCAACGAGGUCAUGCUCCGGUUUAACUCUCAGCGUCAAAGUACUCAUCCCAUCAGACUCUCUGCAGGUUUUCAUGUACCAAUCAUGUAGUCUUCGCAUCAUCGUGCUUAGAUAUCUGACAUCUUUGACGAGAGGCUUCCCGUAAUGGUAUUUGUGGUCGUCCACCUCCAUGAUUUCAUAAUGUACAUCGUCGGGUAGGUAAUCUCCAAGAUUGCUAUAACCGGGCACCAUACCCGGAUCAUUAGCGACGAUGUCUUUUGACACCUUGAGCAGGGGGCACGAUUGGUUCGCUUGUUCGCCGAGCUGGGCAAUUUUUUUCCCAGCUCGUCGUUCUUUCAUCCUUUUAUCACUGACAGUACUUCCCGACCGCUCCGCUUCGGCAUAUGGCUUUGCAAGAACGCACUCAUAGUUUCCUCUCGGCGGAGACUUUGGUGGUUUUGUCAGGGCAGCCAGAGUGCACUUUGCUUUCACCGGAUCUACCUUCUCCUCCGGAGGUGGAUGUUUCUUUGCUUUCACCCCUUCAAAGAAGUUCUUCACUUCGGCUCGCACGAUCUUCGCGUUCUCCUCCUCGGUCCUCUCAUAUGGUAACUUCUCUGGAGUCUUCAGAGAAGGAACGAAUCUGUAUUGCCUCCCGCCUCUGGCAGCUGUACUGCUAGACGCCGGCAGAGCAGACGGAGCGGCUGCGGCUGUCUUCUUUCCUUGCUUACGAGGCGGAGGAGAAGGACUACGACGCGCCGGAGCAGCCGCAGCGGGUCUCUUCCGCCCUUGCUGACGAGGCGGAGAAGGAGGAGGCUGGCUGCUCUUGCGCGCCGGCGCUAGCGGAGAAAGAGGCGGAGUGCCGCCACGCGCCGGAGAAGGAGGCUGAGUGCCCUGAUCACUCGCCGGAGGAGGAGGCGGAGGAGGAGGCGGAGUGCCCUUACUCGCCGAAGCCGUCCAGUUCGGAAGCUUGAUGAGCUCCUUCCGCCAUAGGCAUGGAGUCUUCAGAGCUAAACCCAGCCGAGUCUCCCCUUCACCGGUAGGGUGGUCAAGCUGGAGGUCCUCAAAUCCCUCCGUUAUUUCAUCCACCAUCACCCUAACAUAUCCUUCUGGAAUCGGCCGGCAGUGGUAGGUUGCGUCGGGUUCAGUAGGUAAAACAGAGCCAACAGCCACCUUGACUUUCAAGUUCUGCCAUUCCGCCAUAAGGUGGCAAUGUUGAGACUCCGUGAUAGCAUCCACGGGGUAGCUAGCAGGAGCCGCAUGCUCCAGCUGAGGCAGCUCGGUGGAAGCCAUGCUGCUUCUAUGCUGAGAUGGCGGUGUAGCUUCGGGGGCAGUUUCGGCAUCUCGAUUGCCGUCUCGUUCCUCUAGCACUUGAACCCUUUCGUGCAGACGCUGAAUUUGGAUCUGCUCCACUUUUUUCCUCCUCUCCUGGGUUUUGUAACCACCCACGUCCGAAAAACCAGCCUUCCACGGAACGGAGCCUGGCGUGCCUCGUGUUCGUCCAGGGUGCUCAGGAUUCCCGAGGGCCAUUGUGAGCUCGUCGUUCUCUCUGUCUGGAACGAACGUCCCUUGCUGCGCUGCAUCGAUAUAGUGCUUAAGCUUAUUGACGGGUAUUGCAAGUUGCUCGUCCGUCCAACGACACCUCCCUGAUACAGGGUCCAAGGUUCCGCCAGCCCCGAAGAACCAAGUCCGGCAACGGUCUGGCCAGUUCAUUGUCUCUGGUUCGAUCCCUUUAUCAAGCAGAUCCCUCUCAGACUUGGCCCACUUAGGCCAGGCUUUGAGGUAGCCACCUGACCCCGUGCGAUGGUGAAGCUCCUUCUUCGCAGCAUUCUUCUUGUUUGUCGCUGACAUCUUCUUACUCCUUUUCGAUGUCUUGUGGGCCACAAAUGCGGGCCAGUGAUCUCUGAUCUUCUCAUACCGGCCGAUGAAUUCUGGUGUCUCUUCUUUGCGACAAACGUUUUCAGCUCAUUCUUCCACCUCCUAAAUAAGUCUGCCAUCUUCUUAAGAGCAUGAGACUUGAUUAAUUGCUCUACAACUGGCUUCUCCGGAUCCUCCUCUGGCGGUAGGGUGAAAAUUUGCCUUCAGCUCAGUCCAAAGAUCAUCUUUCUGCAUAUCAUUGACAUAAGACACCUCAGGGUCUUCCUUCUUAGGCUUAUACCAUUGGUGGAUCCUGAUCGGGAUCUUGUCCCUAACUAGAACCCCGCACUGAGCAGCAAAAGCAUCCUUUGUCCGGAGGGGUUCAAUCGGUUGGCCGUCGCGCGCGAUUGCUGUGAUCUCAAACCUUUCAUCCGAGCACAACUUUCUCUUCGGGCCUCGUCUCUUUACCGCAGUUGUGCUCGAUCCGGAGGGCUAGAAAAAAGGAGAAAGACGAGUGUUAAUUAAUAUGUGUACAUACCAAAACAAUGAAUGCAUCAAUUAGCUAGUCAGCACAGGCUUAACUAAUAUAUUUACCUGGCCGGACUCUGUUCGGUCACCGGAGCCGUCACCAUGGGCUCCUUCUUGCACCAGCAUUGGGUCACCGGAGCCAUCAUAAUCAUGUCUUUCCUCCUCCACUCUUCGAUCACCGCAGCCUGCUUCUUCACCCUGUUCUUCCAGACCAUCAUUGUCGUUAAGAUACGACAAGAUAUCACCUCCGGCUAAGAUUAUGUCCCCCAACACGUCUUCUGCUUGCUCCUCUCGUCCGUGCUCCAUUGUUUCUGCAAAUAUUACAACAUGGCAAUUAUUACACAAACAUGACAGCAGGUGGAUAUAUUAGUGCAAACGUAGACCUAGCUUAUUCCGGGUUUGGGGUGGCCUAGGCAACGCUUCAAGGGUAGGGGCGCGGCGGGAGGGGGUAGGAGACCGACAUCGUUUUUUCUAGGGUUUGGGUGUCCUCGAGAGUUUUGGUCGAGCGAGAGGGCCGGGGGGGUGCUCCCGUGGUAUAAGUUAUCACGGUCGAGAGGGGGUAUACAUAUCGACCGUCCAUCAUGUCGAAGUUAUCUGGGAGGGAGUUAUAUAUAUCGACAACGACGACAUACUUACAUGGGAAAGUAAUGUUAUCGGGGAGGGGGUAUAUAUCGAACCCUCCCACGUGUUGAAGUUAUCGGGAGGGGGUUUUAUAUCGACAACGACGACAUACAUACACGGGAAAAUAAUGUUAUCGAGGAGGGGGUAUAUCGACCCCCCCCCUCGUGUUGAAGUUAUCCCCCCUCGUGUUGAAGUUAUCGGGAGGGGUAUAUAUCGACGACGACAGACCCGAUAAAACAUAAGAAAACGAAGAAGAAAUAAAAAGAGGAGAGAAGUAGAAAUGAAUAGAGGAGAGGAUUGAAGAAAAAAAAGAAGAAAAAAAAAGAGGAAAGAAAAUUUUCUAUUUUUUCUUCUUCUCCUCUAUUCCUUUCUUCUUCUCCUCUUCUUUUUCUUCUUUUUUCCUCUUCUUAUUUAUUUCUCCUCUUCUUCCUCUCCUCUUCUUCUUCCCUUCCUAGCUAGAUAUAUAAAACUUUUCUAAAAUUGUAACUUUUGCAUAUAUAGAACUUUUCCAUGUGGAUCAUCAUUUCUCAUAUAUAUCGAAUAUAUAUCCAUUGUCAUAUAUAAAAACUUUCUAUAUAUGAACAAAAAAACAUUUUUGACAUAUAUAUUCAUACAUUUUGAACAUCUACAUACAUACAAAAAAAUUUUGUUCACAUAUACAUUAUAGCCACAUACACAUAUACAUCACAUAUGAACAAAAAAAUUAAACUAAUAAAAAUAAAAAAACAGAGCCGGGGCGGCGGCUCUCACAGCGGGGGCAGCUAGGACGAUGGCGACGGCGGGGGCGGCGAGGGCGCNNNNNNNNNNNNNNNNNNNNNNNNNNNNNNNNNNNNNNNNNNNNNNNNNNNNNNNNNNNNNNNNNNNNNNNNNNNNNNNNNNNNNNNNNNNNNNNNNNNNNNNNNNNNNNNNNNNNNNNNNNNNNNNNNNNNNNNNNNNNNNNNNNNNNNNNNNNNNNNNNNNNNNNNNNNNNNNNNNNNNNNNNNNNNNNNNNNNNNNNNNNNNNNNNNNNNNNNNNNNNNNNNNNNNNNNNNNNNNNNNNNNNNNNNNNNNNNNNNNNNNNNNNNNNNNNNNNNNNNNNNNNNNNNNNNNNNNNNNNNNNNNNNNNNNNNNNNNCGGUUGGUGCCACCAACCGGGACCAAAGGCCUUGCGCUGCCCGCGGCCAAAAGUUUAGUCCCACCUCGCUAGUUGAGAGGGGCUCGGAGUGGUUUAUAAGCCCCACUGCGGCUGCCCUCUCGAGCUCCUCUCAAAUGCAUGCUUACGGGCCUAAUGUCACACUGUGCUGUCUGUUGGCCUAUUGGGCCUUCUGCGGGCCUGAAUCCUGGCCCAAGUUGGGUUUCUAGCCGUAUUCAGGCCGUGGUGGCCCAAUAGGUGGCAGUUUUUUAAAAAAAAUUCCAGUUUUUUGGUUCUGUUUUUUGCAUUAUUUAUUUUCUUUUGUUUCUUGCUUUAUUUUUGAAUUCCUUUUGCUUUUAGGUCAGCAAAAUUAUAAACUGUCUGUUAUUGCCAUUAGUUUUAGAAAACAUAUAAACUUUCUAUUAGUGCCAUUAGUUCUUUAUGAAAAUUCUUUUUGCUGUAUUUAGUUUUUUUGUUUUCUGUUUUGCUAUAUUUAUUUUGUUUUGUUUCUACUUACAACAAAAAACUUAUUUAUUUUAUUUUAUUUUGUUUCUAAUUAGUUAUUUAUUUUACUUUAUGAUAAUUCUUUCUGCUAUUAAAGUUUCUAUCAAAAAAAGUUCUUUAUGAAAAUUCUUUUUGCUUUUAAUGAUUAAAAAUAAAAAAGAGGCGCAAUGCGCGUUGAUUUGCUUCAAGUCUUUCGGAAUAGUGUAGACUGCACUGCACAUAGCUCGAUGCAGUCUACCUUAUUCCUCAAGGCUUGAAGCUAAGCAGCGUGAGCAUUGCGCCUCUUCUUCAUCGUCUCUGCACUCAGGGCUUAUAAACCGCUCCUAGUGCCUCUCAGCUAGCGAGGUGGGACUAAAAAACUGCUUAGCUAGUAAGAAACUCUAGUACCGGUUCGUGCCACGAACAGGUACUUAAGGUGCUCGUGGGGCCACAGCCUCAUUAGUACCGGUUCGUGGCACAAACAGGGACCAAAGGGUGGAAUUGGUCCCGGUUCGUGCCACCAACCGGGACCAAUGGCCUUGCACAGCGGCGUGGUGGUGUGUUUAGUCCCACCUCGCUAGCUAAGAGAGAGCCGCACCUGUUUAUAAGGAAGACCAAAAGGUCGAGCAUGAGUCGUAUAGAAGAUACGAUCAACAUGGAGAUGUUCACCGAUCUUGACUAGUCCGUCUCACGUGAUGAUCGGACACGGCCUAGUUAACUCGGAUCAUGUUUCACUUAGAUGACUAGAGGGAUGUCUAUCUGAGUGGGAGUUCAUUGAAUAAUUUGAUUAGAUGAACUUAAUUAUCAUGAACUUAGUCUAAAAUCUUUACAAUAUGUCUUGUAGAUCAAAUGGCCCACGUUGCCCUCAACUUCAACGCGUUCCUAGAGAAAACCAAGCUGAAAGAUGAUGGCAGCAACUAUACGGACUGGGUCCGGAACCCGAGGAUCAUCCUCAUAGCUGCCAAGAAAGAUUAUGUCCUAGAAGCACCGCUAGGUGAAGCACCAAUCCCAGAGAACCAAGACGUUAUGAACGCUUGGCAAUCACGUGCUGAUGAUUACUCCCUCGUUCAGUGCGGCAUGCUUUACAGCUUAGAACCGGGUCUCCAAAAGCGUUUUGAGAAACAUGGAGCAUAUGAGAUGUUCGAAGAGCUGAAAAUGGUUUUCCAAGCUCAUGCCCGGGUCGAGAGAUAUGAAGUCCCCGACAAGUUCUUCAGCUAUAAAAUGGAGGAAAAUAGUUCUGUUAGUGAGCACAUACUCAGAAUGUCUGGGUUACACAACCGCUUGUCUCAGCUGGGAGUUAAUCUCCCGGAUGACGCGGUCAUUGAAAGAAUCCUUCAGUCGCUUCCACCGAGCUACACGAGCUUUGUGAUGAACUUCAAUAUGCAGGGGAUGGAAAAGACCAUUCCUGAGGUAUAUUCAAUGCUGAAAUCAGCGGAGGUGGAGAUCAAAAAGGAACAUCAAGUGUUGAUGGUGAAUAAAACCACUAAGUUCAAGAAAGGCAAGGGUAAGAAGAACUUCAAGAAGGACGGCAAGGGAGUUGCCGCGCCCGGUAAGCCAGUUGCCGGGAAGAAGUCAAAGAAUGGACCCAAGCCUGAGACUGAGUGCUUUUAUCGCAAGGGAAGUGGUCACUGGAAGCGGAACUGCCCCAAAUACUUAGCGGACAAGAAGGCCGGCAACACCAAAGGUAUAUGUGAUAUACAUGUAAUUGAUGUGUACCUUACAAGUACUCGUAGUAGCUCCUGGGUAUUUGAUACCGGUGCGGUUGCUCAUAUUUGUAACUCAAAACAGGAACUGUGGAAUAAGCGGAGACUGGCAAAGGACGAGGUGACGAUGCGCGUCGGGAAUGGUUCCAAGGUUGAUGUGAUCGCCGUCGGCACGCUACCUCUGCAUUUACCUACGGGAUUAGUUUUAAACCUCAAUAAUUGUUAUUUAGUGCCAGCUUUGAGCAUGAACAUUGUAUCUGGAUCUCGUUUAAUUCGAGAUGGCUACUCAUUUAAAUCCGAGAAUAAUGGUUGUUCUAUUUAUAUGAGAGAUAUGUUUUGUGGUCAUGCUCCGCUGGUCAAUGGUUUAUUCUUGAUGAAUCUCGAACGUGAUGUUACACAUAUUCAUAGUGUGAAUACCAAAAGAUGUAAAGUUGAUAACGAUAGUCCCACAUACUUGUGGCACUGCCGCCUUGGUCACAUUGGUGUCAAACGCAUGAAGAAACUCCAUGCAGAUGGACUUUUGGAGUCUCUUGAUUACGAAUCAUUUGACACGUGCGAACCAUGCCUCAUGGGUAAGAUGACCAAGACUCCGUUCUCCGGAACAAUGGAGCGAGCAAUCAACUUAUAGGAAAUCAUACAUACCGAUGUGUGCGGUCCAAUGAGUGUUGAGGCUCGCGGAGGAUAUCGUUAUGUUCUCACUCUCACUGAUGACUUAAGUAGAUAUGGGUAUGUCUACCUAAUGAAACACAAGUCUGAAACCUUUGAAAAGUUCAAGGAAUUUUAGAGUGAGGUUGAGAAUCAACGUGACAGGAAAAUAAAAUUCUUAUGAUCAGAUCGUGGUGGAGAAUAUUUAAGUCACGAAUUUGGUACGCGCUUAAGGAAAUGUGGAAUCGUUUCACAACUCACGCCGCCUGGAACACCUCGGCGAAAUGGUGUGUCCGAACGUCGUAGUCGCACUCUAUUGGAUAUGGUGCGAUCUAUGAUGUCUCUUACCGAUCUGCCGCUCUCAUUUUGGGGCUAUGCUUUAGAGACUGCCGCAUUCACUUUAAAUAGGGCUCCGUCGAAAUCCGUUGAGACGACACCGUAUGAAUUAUGGUUUGGGAAGAAACCUAAGCUGUCGUUUCUAAAAGUUUGGGGAUGCGAUGCUUAUGUCAAGAAACUUCAACCUGAAAAACUCGAACCCAAGUCGGAAAAAUGCGUCUUCAUAGGAUACCCCAAGGAAACUGUUGGGUAUACCUUCUACCUCAGAUCCGAAGGCAAGAUCUUUGUUGCCAAGAACGGGUCCUUUCUGGAGAAAGAGUUUCUCUCGAAAGAAUUGAGUGGGAGGAAAGUGGAACUUGAUGAGGUGAUAGCCUCCACCGACUGGGGAGGAAAUUAAUGAUGAUGAUCAUGAAGCUUCGGAUCAAGUUACUGCUGAACUUCGUAGGUCCACAAGGACACGUUCCGCACCAGAGUGAUAUAGCAACCCUGUCCUGGAAAUCAUGUUGUUAGACAACGGUGAACCUUCAAACUAUGAAGAAGCGAUGGCGGGCCCGGAUUCCAACAAUUGGCUUGAAGCCAUGAAAUCCGAGAUAGGAUCCAUGUAUGAAAACGAAGUAUGGACUUUGACUGACUUGCCUGAUGAUCGGCGAGCCAUAGAAAAUAAAUGGAUCUUUAAGAAGAAGACAGACGCGGAUGGUAAUGUGACCAUCUAUAAGGCUCGACUUGUCGCUAAGGGUUAUCGACAAGUUCAAGGGGUUGACUACGAUGAGACUUUCUCACCCGUAGCGAAGCUGAAGUCCGUCCGAAUCAUGUUAGCAAUUGCCGCAUACUAUGAUUAUGAGAUAUGGAAGAUGGACGUCAAAACGGCAUUCCUUAAUAGCUUUCUUAAGGAAGAAUUGUAUAUGAUGCAGCCGGAAGGUUUUGUCGAUCCUAAGAAUGCUAACAAGGUAUGCAAGCUCCAGCGCUCCAUCUAUGGGCUGGUGCAAGCAUCUCGGAGUUGGAACAUUCGUUUUGAUGAGAUGAUCAAAGCGUUUGGGUUUACACAGACUUAUGGAGAAGCCUGUGUUUACAAGAAAGUGAGUGGGAGCUCUGUAGCAUUUCUCUUAUUAUAUGUGGAUGACAUACUAUUGAUGGGAAAUGAUAUAGAAUUCUUGGAAAGUAUAAAGGCCUAUUUGAAUAAGUGUUUUUCAAUGAAGGACCUUGGAGAAGCUGCUUAUAUAUUAGGCAUCAAGAUCUAUAGAGAUAGAUCAAGACGCCUCAUUGGUCUUUCACAGAGUACGUACCUUGACAAGAUAUUGAAGAAGUUCAAUAUGGAUCAGUCCAAGAAGGGGUUCUUGCCUGUAUUGCAAGGUGUGCAAUUGAGCACGACUCAAUGCCCGACCACAGCAGAAGAUAGAGAAAAGAUGAGUGUCAUCCCCUAUGCCUCGGCCAUAUGUGACACCCAAAUUUUUAUUUGGAUUUUUCAAAAGAUUUUAUUUGACUUGAGGGAGGUGAUUUAAAAAUUUUCUUCAAAAGAACUAUCCCAUUCAAAUAUUUUUUUCUUCUUUAUGGCAAAGGUUUUAUUUGGAUUCAUCCAAGAUCUGUCUUUGGUCUUGGAGGUUCUUGCUUUUUAUUUGGACUCAAGACAAAAUGUUUUUCAUUUGGGGAAAAUGACUUUUGAAAAUAUUUUUGAAAAUGCACUAUGGCUUUUGGAAUAAUCCUUUGCCACUUUCAACAUUUCUCUCUUGCCAUGGCCUUAGUGCAAAUCCACUCUCCUAACCCUCCCCUCAUCUUUGGAUCAUGUUUUGCAUCAAAUCCAGCAAGUUGAACCUCCCCCUAUGAUUAUUUUCCAUUUAAAUUUCAUCAAAUAAAUUUCUGUCUUCUACCCUAGCCCUUGGAGAUUUACAAAGGAGCUACCAUCUCUGCUUUGAUUUUUGGCCCCAAACCAAUUCCCCUUCCUAGUCCUUUGAACCCUCAACCAAGAUCCAUGAAGAUCCACUCGUCUUUAGUUCAAAUUUUUCAAACUACACUUGCUGCAAGUUUGGACCAGAUUUGUCAAAUUUGGUGAAAUUCAUUCAAAUCCCUCUCAAAAAAUUCUGAGUAAAAUCAGGCAGCCUCUGGGUGCAUUGAGUGGUCACCUCACCAAGUACCAGCUCCAAAAAAAAUUCUGCUUGCCAAAUCAUUCUGUCGAACACCUGCAGUGCAUUGUCAAUAUCAGGUUCAGUAAAGUUCAGAGAACAUUUCAGUGCGCUGUCGUUUUCUUCAGAGCCCGACGUCGAUCUCGCCAGUGCCACUGUGUCGCCGUGUUCCCUGUCCCCUCCCCCUUGUCCUCUGCACCGCACGAGCAUCUGGCAUCUUGCGGACGUCGGCGAAAAGCCGCCGCUGGCGUCGGUCACGAGGCCGCGCUGACGGCGCCACCCAGCGCCGCCCAAGCCACCGGAGCUCGCCGCGUGGCCUUCCACUCCCCAGAACGCGCUGCCACUCUCGUCGUGAACCGCAGGGCGCGGAGCGCGCUCUCUGCCGCCGACGUGCCCGUGCGGCCACUCCACCGUGGACCGGCGCCAUAACGCCAAGACCAACCGAGAUUUGCGGGGGAACGGCACCAGUAACCUCCACUGAUGCUGCCUGGCCACUCAAACCUCCUGCCAAUCCACUGCAUCGCCGUAAUUGCUCGCCGGAGAUUCUCCGUUCACGGCCACCCCGUCGAUCCGCCUAUAAAUAGAGGCCCCGAGCUUCAACUCGAACCCACACCAUCCCUGCACUCCACCUAGAGCACGCCUAGCCACUGGAAGAGCCCCGAGGAGGUCUCCUUCCUCGACUCCGGCCGCCGCGACCCGCCACGGGAUCCAGCUCGAUUCGCCCCCGUGCGUGCGCCUCUGCCUCCCAUCUCUUGCCAGUAGCUUCACUAUGCAUCCCUCCUUCUGACCCGCGCUUCAAUUCGAAGUUUGCAGCCCUCCACCGGAGUUCUCCACCAUCACCCGAGCCGCCGUCCGCCGGAGAAAGUGUCGCCGUCGACGUGGUGCUCCCCGUUAGUCGAGUCCACCACCCACCGACGCGGAAGAACACGCUGAAGCUCUUGGUACCCUCCGAUCUUCCUGACUCGCCGUGGUUCGACGCCGGCGUCCACCGCAGUCUUCGGGCGCCGGCGAGCUUUUUGAACCUGACAUGUGGACCCCCCAUGUCAGCCUCUGUUCUAAUCUCCCUCGACCCGUUUUCUGUUGGCGCCUUCGGGCAAAAUACGCUUUCCCUCUUUAGCUAGCGCAUUUCUUUCCGAAGCGUUUUCUGGUUUCUCAGUUUAAACCCUGGAACUUUUCUGUUUCAUUACAGAUAGGUCCCUGGACAGAAACCUUUAUAACUUUUUAAUAAAAAGGAAUUUUUGAGUGAUUCUUUUUCUGACCUUCUUAAAAUUUUGUCUAGUUUUUUAUGGGAUUUAUUUGGAAAAUUGUUGGAGAAGUUUCUGUGCACGCGUUGAUUUUCACGUUAGUGCCCAUUUCCGUUAUUGUCGUAGGUUCCGGAAGAGGUGAUGGAGCCGCGAACUUCGCCGAGCUAGACUCCGACUUCUCCGAACCAGGCAAGCAUGUUUGAACCUUUGAUAUGAUAGGUGUUUUGCAUGUUUGCAUGACAGUUGGAGCGUGGCAUAUGAGUGUCAGUGAGUACCUCGUUGCUUGUGAGGCAACUACCCGCAUGUUCCAAAGUUGCGAUGAUCUCUGAUGAGAGAUGGCCUAAUCAUGUGGUGACAUGAAGGGCAGCAAGGUGGUACUGUUGUAGCAUACCAGCCUUGCGUCAUCCGACGAAUUCCGACGUUAACGUGGACGGAGUCACGUUAUCGUUCUUUUCCCCUCCGUGCUGCCACAUGUUUCAUUUGCCAGGAUGCGGUUUAGUAAGUUGGUAACCUCUUUCCGUGUACACACCAAACAGAGGGGCCGGGAUGAUGGUACCUUGGCCCAGGAUUAAAGCCAGUCAUCCGGUCAGGGGGCAUGGGUGUUUCCGGUUGGGACCGAGAGGGGGGGCACCCCUUUAGAGCGCGCGUAUAGAAAUUUGAUCCCAUGCUACGCGAGGUUGUAGCCUUCCCGUCUCAAGGUUUUUCUUGAACGUUGCCGAGGGUGAUCCCUGGCUUCGGAAUAUUGAAAUGGGUGUGUACUGGUUAGACGUGUUUCUUCCAAAACACCGUAAACGGAACUAGUCCCCGUGACUACGGAAAUCUGUUGGCUGUGGUUAAGUACAAACUCUGCAGAGUCAAAUUCUUCCAAGUCAUCGUGUCCAUGAUCAAGUAGGGUAAUCAAUAUAUCCAUAUCUAUCCUCGUGGAAAACUUGUCUCCGGUGAACAAGCUCAAGUGGUAAACCCGGUUAAAUUAUUAUUACUAUGGAUGGACUAACCUUUUAUUUGUCUCGUACUUGUAAUAAUUUAUGAUCUCGAGCUACUGCAUUAUUGAGCUACAAUAUAAGCCCUUUAUGUGACGUCGCUCAGACGUCCGACUGUGGCAUGUCUUUGUUUCUCACUUUAAAUAUAAGCCCUUUAUGUGAUGUCGCUCAGACGUCCGACUGUGGCACACACUGCCUUUAUUUUCUGAUAUAAGCCCUUUAUGUGGUGUCGCCCCGACGCCCGACUGUGGCAUUAAUAUUCUGCAGUUUCCUCUCGAGGAGUCAUUCAGACACUCGUUUGGCACCAGUAUUACCAUUCUUGCAGUUUCCUCUCGAGGAGUCAUUCAGACACUCGUUUGGCACCAGUACUACUAUUCUUGCAGUUUCCACUCGAGGAGUCAUUCAGACCCUCGUUUGGCACCCAGCAUUUAUUAUCUCUAUGUCUGAACGCACUAGUUAACUUGUUUAUAUGCUUCAUGUUUACAUUUGUUAUAUCUUAUGUCCGAACUGUCUUGCGAGUACUUUCAUAGUACUCACCUGGCUUGUUGAUUUGGCUAGAUGUUGACGAAGGCGAUCUUUUGGAUGAAGAGUUUGAUAGCGCGUCCGACGCCUAGAGGAGUCCCAGUCAGUCCUGCGCGAUCCCGGAUAUUGGUCACUUGUAUUAUAUACGCUUCCGCCACCCGCAAUAACUCUCCUCGAGCCUCGCUUCGACGCUCGAAGAGCUGUAGUCUUCAGGAGUCAUAUCACUCGCUUCGCGGUGAUAUUUCCACCACCGUUAUUAUCGUGAGUUAGUAGUUAUGCCACCCUAUACGCCGUCUUGUUUUAUUAGCGUGCAUGUAAUAGAUUGUUGGGCAGUCUCCGCUCAACCUUGUAUUAUAUUCAGUACUCCUAGUAUUUUUCUUCUGUGACCAAGAUAUUGUCUACCAGUGGGAAGGGAUUCUUCCUUCUGGUCCGUAAAAGGGAUUGGUCUCUCAAUAAUUAUUUUAUUGAAAAACAGGUCGUGACAAGCUUGGUACUAGAGCCAGGCUGGCUGUAGGAAGCCACUAGGUGCGAUCGCUAAUCGGUUAUUAGCGUCUUUUGAGCUUUUUCAGCAUUUUGCAAAUUGUAGCUAUUUUCUGUUGGUCAUCAUAAAUUUAUGACAUGACUACUCAGAAUUUUUGCCUACUUUUGUAGAUGGCUAGCAGUAGCUGUGAGAAUCGAGUGUUCACGAACGUGCCCGAGGGGUUUGUCAAGCUCCUCGUCUCCAUCACCGAGCUCGCGAUCGGGCCAGCAGCCCGCCCGGAGUUCACGCUCUAUCAGCACAAGCUCAGCAACGAUGUGUCUAUGCACCAAGCUGUGGUGCAAUUCAAGGGAGGACGUUCUGCAGCUCGCCACUUCCGUUUUGUGGGAAGGGCCAUGCCUACGGAGAGGCAUGCCAUGCAGAUGGCUGCCCGUGAGGCGAUUGCUCGUCUUCGGGACAUCCUUCCUACGAUGAAGACUCGUCGCUACCGCUACCUCCCAUGCCAUGUGCCAUACACCAGUCACUAUGCAUUCGCCUGCCAUCGGGGAGAGCGAGAUGAAGCCAUCGAGAUGGUUGUGGAGUAUCUCAAGGCUCUGGAAGAGUCUUUCGACAACCUCGUGGACGAUCUUGUGGCUGCCCGCAUGGACUUAGUCCGGGGCGGUCCUGCCAGCAGGAAGGAGCUUCUCCACACGGCACCGCCUCUGACAUUCGUCUCGUCUUCAGCCUCUUAUGCACCGGCCGUUUUGGCCACUGUUCGCCGUCUGCCUACCACUGAGGAGUUCGACCGAGUCGUCGCUCCUACUCCAGUCAGGGCUGCACCGCCUGCCGCACCCGCGCUACCACCUGUCGCUCCCGCGCCAUCACCACAGCGCAGCGUUACGCGCCAGGAGCUAGCUAGAGAGGAGGUGGAGGUUGAUUCUCCUGGACCACUGAGUCUUGCCAUCGGCAAGGGGAAGGAAAUCUACACCAUCUCCGACUGAGAGCGCCGAGUAGCCGCGCGUUAUGUCUAUUUGUAUGAUGUGUUUUCUCUGUACGCUAGUUUGUAUUGGUGUGUUUGCUACCUUCCGGAGGAGUACGCUAGUCUAAAUAACAUGUCAGGAAUGUGUACGCGCAUCCUGAGUGCUGUAUCGUGUGUUUGCUUUUCGCGUGUAAGAAUUGUGUUAAGCAGUCUUUUCUCCAUACAAAACCGCUUAUGUUUUCCUUGAAAACCUUGAAGUCUUUUAAAUUGUUGCCUUUGCAAGAUUUUCCUGGUGCUACACAGUUUUUCUCAUGGGUUUUGCAAAAUAAUACCCCAGACUGGAAAAAUGUCUCAUCCGUGGACUCGCUCCAUGCCCAAUCAGCCAGAAGAGGUUUAUGGGACACAGACUAGCAACAACUUCACUCAGGGUCAGUCCAGUCAACAAGACAGCGAAGCAGCCCUGUCUCAAGUCUGCCGUCUCUUCGAGCAAAGCCAGCAACAGCACCAAGAGAUGAUGAAUCAUGUCAUCAAUAUGGGAAACCACCGCGAACCCUAUCAACCACAUUCCAAGUUAUCUGAGUUACAGAAGACUCGCCCUUCAACUUUUGCUCACACCGACAGGCCGCUGGAAGCCGAUGAUUGGCUUCGUGACAUUGAAAGGAAACUGAUUAUUGCUCAGUGUUCAGAUCAUGAGAAGGUGCUUUAUGCGCCACACUACCUUACUGGAGCAGCUGCAGCAUGGUGGGAGAACUUCCUACACAUGCAUCCCAGUGAACACAACAUCACCUGGGAAGAGUUCAAGGAAGGCUUCCGUGGGGCACACAUCCCCAGGAGCAUCAUAAAAAUCAAGAAGAGAGAGUUUGAUGACCUGAAGCAGAGAGGCAUGUCAGUGACAGAAUACAAUGGUCAAUUUACCCAGCUAUCUCGUUAUGCCUACGACGAGCACAUGACAGAAAACAAGAAGAUGGAAAAAUUCCUGGACGGCCUGGCACCAGCACUAAGAUGCCAACUGAUUGUACACACAUUUCCGGAUUUUAAAACUCUGGUGGACAAGGCCAUUACCUUGGAGAAUGAGCGCCGUAGUCUGGAAGAUGUCCGUAAGCGAAAGAGGGACAAAACGACUCUUGCUCGCAACAACCGAAACAAGACUGAGGUUCCACGGACAGAAGCAAGGAGAUCCACGAUUACUGAUCCAAGGCCCGUCGGACAGUUUCAUGCCAGGGACAAGGAGUACACGUACCGUCCAGGGGUCACCUGCUAUGCUUGUGGUCAAGAAGGGCACUAUGCUAAACAAUGCCCAAAGCCGAGGAACGCGGCCCCCAAACCAAACAAUGGUGGAAACAAUCCAGCCCCCAAGCGCAACAAUUUCAAUCCCAACAACAACCACAGGAAGGGUCACCUGAACCAUGUGACCAGGGAAGAAGCGCAGAAUGCCCCAGACAUCGUGCUCGGUACGUUCCCUGUCAACACAGUACCUGCCACGGUUUUGUUUGAUUCUGGAGCUUCCCAUUCGUUCGUUUCGAAGAGUUUUGUUUUGCGACAUGGUUUUCCGAUACUUCCCUUGGAAAAAUCUAUGAUCAUCAAGUCCCCCGGAAAUAAGCAAAUCGCUCAGGGUUACUGCCAAGGAGUGGUCAUUGAGUUCGAAGGACUACAAUUCCAAGCAAAUCUCAUCGUGUUGGAGAGUAAAGGACUGGAUGUCAUUUUAGGAAUGGACUGGUUGACCACCAACAAAGGAUUCAUUUACUGUUUCAAUCGGACCGUGAUUCUCACCCACCAUCAUGGCAAGACCAUUAAGGUCACAGCUCAAGAAAGGCCACGAACACAACAACCAAAACUGGAAAAAAGUGGGCAUUUCUGAACUGAGAAAAGUUCCAGUGGUAUGCGAGUUUCCUGAUGUGCUCCCUGAAGAACUGCCAGGCAUGCCACCAGACCGAGAGAUAGAGUUCAGCAUCGAACUAGCACCUGGCACCGCUCCCAUCUAUAAGAAGCCUUAUAGAAUGGCACCAUCAGAAUUGGUGGAGUUGAAGAAGCAGAUAAAGGAAUUAUUGGACAAAGGAUUUAUUCGAGCCAGCUCCUCACCUUGGGGUUUGCCAGUGUUGUUCGCCAAGAAAAAGGAUGGGACACUGAGACUGUGUAUAGACUAUCGAGCCCUCAAUAUGGUCACCAUCAAAAACAAAUAUCCGAUGCCACGGAUAAAUGAUUUGUUUGACCAGCUCGCACAAGCCAAGGUAUUCUCAAAAAUUGAUUUGAGAUCGGGAUAUCAUCAACUGAAGGUACGGACAGAAGAUAUCCCCAAGACAGCAUUCACUUCCAGAUACGGAUUAUACGAGUUUACAGUGAUGCCUUUUGGACUAACGAACGCCCCCGCAUAUUUCGUCCACCUCAUGAACAAAGUGUUCAUGAAAUUCAUGGACAAAUUCGUUGUGGUAUUUAUUGACGAUAUCUUGGUUUACUCAAGGACACCAGAAGAGCAUGCUGAGCACCUCAGAAUUGUUUUGGGAGAACUAAGGAAACAUCAGUUGUACGCCAAAUUUAGCAAGUGCGAAUUUUGGCUAAGACAAGUUGGUUUCUUAGGCCAUAUAUUGAACCAAGAAGGCGUGGCCGUAGACCGAGAAAAAGUCAAAGCCAUACUUGACUGGAAGCCGCCCGCCAACGUUACAGAUGUGCGGAGUUUCCUAGGAAUGGCCGGAUAUUACAGAAGGUUUAUUGAAGGAUUCUCCACUGUGGCAAAACCUAUAACACAGUUGCUCAAGAAAGACAAGAAAUUUGUAUGGACGGAAGCAUGCGAGAAAAGCUUCCAAGAACUCAAGAAGAAGCUGACAACCGCACCGGUCUUAACUGUGCCAGACAUACACAAGAGUUUUGAAGUAUAUUGUGACGCGUCCCGAAAAGGUCUCGGAUGUGUACUAAUGCAGGAUGGCAAAGUUGUCGCAUAUGCCUCCAGGCAGCUGCGAAAACAUGAGGAAAAUUACCCAACACAUGACUUGGAGCUAGCAGCAGUUAUUCAUGCACUCAAGGAGUGGAGGCACUUUCUGCUGGGAAAUCGCUGUGAAAUAUAUACGGACCACAAGAGCCUCAAAUAUAUUUUCACACAGCCCGAGCUAAAUUUACGCCAACGACGCUGGUUGGAACUGGUCAAGGACUAUGAUGUCGGUAUUCACUACCAUCCAGGGAAAGCAAAUGUAGUGGCCGAUGCCCUUAGUCGAAACCCCAGCCCGGACAAUGACGGUCCGCAAAACUUGAGGCCUGAGUUUCAGCAAGAGUUCGCUAGGCUCAACAUGAUGUUAGUCUCUGAGAGCACCGUAUCGAAUCUAGAGAUACAACCCACCCUGGUGGAACAAAUUAAGAAAGCUCAACAGGGACAUCCUAGCAUCGAAGGUAUAAAGAAGAAAGUGGACCUUGGUAAGGCUUCAGAGUUCGUCACAGACAGUGAAGGGACAUUAUGGUAUGGAGACAGACUUUGCGUACCUAACAUUGAGGAACUCAAGCAACAAAUCUUAACCGAAAGCCACACCGCUCCAUACUCGAUCCAUCCUGGAGGAACCAAAAUGUACAAGGACAUUCAGGAAAGAUUUUGGUGGCACGGUAUGAAAAGAGAUAUAGCCGCAUUUAUUGCUUGUCGCGAUUCAUGUCAGCGCAUCAAGGCCGAGCAUCAAAAGCCAGCAGGGCUACUCCAGCCAAACAGGAUACCGGAGUGGAAAUGGGAUGAAAUAGGAAUGGACUUCAUUGUCGGAUUACCCCGAUCACAACGCGGAAAUGACGCCAUAUGGGUCAUCACAGACCGACUAACCAAGGUUGCUCAUUUCAUUCCCGUGAAGACUACCUACUCCACACAAAGACUGGCCAAACUUUAUCUCUCCCGUAUAGUUUGUUUGCAUGGAGUCCCAAAGGCUAUAAUAUCCGACCGAGGCACUCAAUUCGUCUCCAAAUUUUGGGAUCACCUACAGCAAGCUCCGGGCAUACAACUAGCUUUCAGCACAGCAUACCACCCUCAGACUGAUGGACAAACAGAACGUGUAAACCAAAUCCUAGAGGAUAUGCUAAGAGCCUGUGUGCUCACCUAUGGAUCCAGUUGGGAAGAGAGUCUACCGUAUGCCGAAUUUGCUUACAACAAUAGUUACCAAGCCAGCUUGCAAAUGGCACCCUUUGAAGCAUUGUACGGAAGGAGGUGUCGUACCCCACUGAAUUGGUCAGAAACAGGUGACAGCCGUAUCUUCGGCCCAGACAUGCUUAAAGAGGCCGAGGAGAAAGUUAAACAGAUCAGGGAUAGACUGAAGACAGCGCAGAGCCGACAAAAGAGCUACUAUGAUCAGAAGCAUCGUGAGGUCAGCUUUGAACCCGGUGAUUCCGUAUACCUCCGAGUAUCUCCUAUGAGGGGUCUGCAACGGUUCAAAAUUAAGGGGAAGCUAGCCCCAAGAUUUAUUGGACCAUUUUGUGUAAAGGCACGAAGAGGCACGGUAGCCUACCAACUAGACCUACCCAAGGAGCUAUCAGACGUCCAUGACGUAUUUCACGUCUCUCAACUGAGAAAAUGUGUGAGUAACCCGGAGAAGCAUGUACCCCAUGAAGGCAUUGAUGUGCAACCAGACCUCACCUACAGAGAGAGGCCAGUAAAGAUUUUAGAAGAGUCUGAACGGAGGACCCGUCAGAAAACGACAAAGUUUUUCAGAGUUCAGUGGAGCAACCACACUGAGGAUGAAGCCACAUGGGAAAGGGAAGAUUUUCUCCAGGCAGAAUAUCCAUAUCUAUUUGAGGAUCAGCAGAAAUCUCGAGGAUGAGAUUUUUCCUAAGGGGGUAGGUGUUGUGACACCCAAAUUUUUAUUUGGAUUUUUCAAAAGAUUUUAUUUGACUUGAGGGAGGUGAUUUAAAAAUUUUCUUCAAAAUAACACUCCCUUUCAAAUAUAUUUUUUCUUCUUUAUGGCAAAGGUUUUAUUUGGAUUCACCCAAGAUCUGUCUUUGGUCUUGGAGGUUCUUGCUUUUUAUUUGGAUUCAAGACAAAAUGUUUUUCAUUUGGGGAAAAUGACUUUUGAAAAUCUUUUUGAAAAUGCACUAUGGCUUUUGGAAUAAUCCUUUGCCACUUUCAACAUUUCUCUCUUGCCAUGGCCUUAGUGCAAAUCCACUCUCCUAACCCUCCCCUCAUCUUUGGAUCAUGUUUUGCAUCAAAUCCAGCAAGUUGAACCUCCCCCUAUGAUUAUUUUCCAUUUAAAUUUCAUCAAAUAAAUUUCUGUCUUCUACCCUAGCCCUUGGAGAUUUACAAAGGAGCUACCAUCUCUGCUUUGAUUUUUGGCCCCAAACCAAUUCCCCUUCCUAGUCCUUUGAACCCUCAACCAAGAUCCAUGAAGAUCCACUGGUCUUCAGUUCAAAUUUUUCAAACUACACUUGCUGCAAGUUUGGACCAGAUUUGUCAAAUUUGGUGAAAUUCAUUCAAAUCCCUCUCCAAAAAUUCCAAGUAUAAUCAGGCAGCCUCUGGGUGCAUUGAGUGGUCACCUCACCAAGUACCAGCUCCAGAAAAAAAUUUCUGCUUGCCAAAUCAUUCUGUCGAACACCUGCAGUGCAUUGUCAAUAUCAGGUUCAGUAAAGUUCAGAGAACAUUUCAGUGCGCUGUCGUUUUCUUCAGAGCCCGACGUCGAUCUCGCCAGUGCCACUGUGUCGCCGUGUUCCCUGUCCCCUCCCCCUUGUCCUCUGCACCGCACGAGCAUCUGGCACCUUGCGGACGUCGGCGAAAAGCCGCCGCUUGCGUCGGUCACGGGGCGGCGCUGACGGCGCCACCCAGCGCCGCCCAAGCCAUCGGAGCUCGCCGCGUGGCCUUCCACUCCCCAGAACGCGCUGCCACUCUCGUCGUGAACCGCAGGGCGCAGAGCGCGCUCUCUGCCGCCGACGUGCCCGUGCGGCCACUCCACCGUGGACCGGCGCCAUAACGCCAAGACCAACCGAGAUUUGCGGGGGAACGGCACCAGUAACCUCCACUGAUGCUGCCUGGCCACUCAAACCUCCUGCCAAUCCACUGCAUCGCCGUAAUUGCUCGCCGAAGAUUCUCCGUUCACGGCCACCCCGUCGAUCCGCCUAUAAAUAGAGGCCCCGAGCUUCAAUUUGAACCCACACCAUCCCUGCACUCCACCUAGAGCACGCCUAGCCACUGGAAGAGCCCCGAGGAGGUCUCCUUCCUCGACUCCGGCCGCCGCGACCCGCCACGGGAUCCAGCUCGAUUCGCCCCCGUGCGUGCGCCUCUGCCUCCCAUCUCUUGCCAGUAGCUUCACUAUGCAUCCCUCCUUCUGACCCGCGCUUCAAUUCGAAGUUUGCAGCCCUCCACCGGAGUUCUCCACCAUCACCCGAGCCGCCGUCCGCCGGAGAAAGUGUCGCCGUCGACGUGGUGCUCCCCGUUAGUCGAGUCCACCACCCACCGACGCGGAAGAACACGCUGAAGCUCUUGGUACCCUCCGAUCUUCCUGACUCGCCGUGGUUCGACGCCGGCGUCCACCGCAGUCUUCGGGCGCCGGCGAGCUUUUUGAACCUGACAUGUGGACCCCCCAUGUCAGCCUCUGUUCUAAUCUCCCUCGAGCCGUUUUCUAUUGGCGCCUUCGGGCAAAAUACGCUUUCCCUCUUUAGCUAGCGCAUUUCUUUCAGAAGCGUUUUCUGGUUUCUCAGUUUAAACCCUGGAACUUUUCUGUUUCAUUACAGAUAGGUCCCUGGACAGAAACCUUUAUAACUUUUUAAUAAAAAGGAAUUUUUGAGUGAUUCUUUUUCUGACCUUCUUAAAAUUUUGUCGAGUUUUUUAUGGGAUUUAUUUGGAAAAUUGUUGGAGAAGUUUCUGUGCACGCGUUGAUUUUCACGUUAGUGCCCGUUUCCGUUAUUGCCGUAGGUUCCGGAAGAGGUGACGGAGCCGCGAACUUCGCCGAGCUAGACUCUGACUUCUCCGAACCAGGCAAGCAUGUUUGAACCUUUGAUAUGAUAGGUGUUUUGCAUGUUUGCAUGACAGUUGGAGCGUGGCAUAUGAGUGUCAGUGAGUACCUCGUUGCUUGUGAGGCAACUACCCGCAUGUUCCAAAGUUGCGAUGAUCUCUGAUGAGAGAUGGCCUAAUCAUGUGGUGACAUGAAGGGCAGCAAGGUGGUACUGUUGUAGCAUACCAGCCUUGCGUCAUCCGACGAAUUCCGACGUUAACGUGGACGGAGUCACGUUAUCGUUCUUUUCCCCUCCGUGCUGCCACAUGUUUCAUUUGCCAGGAUGCGGUUUAGUAAGUUUGUAACCUCUUUUCAUGUACACACCAAACAGAGGGGCCGGGAUGAUGGUACCUUGGCCCAGGAUUAAAGCCAGUCAUCCGGUCAGGGGGCAUGGGUGUUUCCGGUUGGGACCGAGAGGGGGGGCACCCCCUUAGAGCGCGCGUAUAGAAAUUUGAUCCCAUGCUACGCGAGGUUGUAGCCUCCCCGUCUCAAGGUUUUUCUUGAACGUUGCCAAGGGUGAUCCCUGGCUUCGUAAUAUUGAAAUGGGUGUGUACUGGUUAGACGUGUUUCUUCCAAAACACCGUAAACGGAACUAGUCCCCGUGACUACGGAAAUCCGUUGGCUGUGGUUAAGUACAAACUCUGCAGAGUCAAAUUCUUCCAAGUCAUCGUGUCCAUGAUCAAGUAGGGUAAUCAGUAUAUCCAUAUCUAUCCUCGUGGAAAACUUGUCUCCGGUGAACAAGCUCAAGUGGUAAACCCGGUUAAAUUAUUAUUACUAUGGAUGGACUAACCUUUUAUUUGUCUCGUACUUGUAAUAAUUUAUGAUCUCGAGCUACUGCAUUAUUGAGCUACAAUAUAAGCCCUUUAUGUGACGUCGCUCAGACGUCCGACUGUGGCAUGUGUUUGUUCUUACUUUAAAUAUAAGCCCUUUUUGCAACGUCGCGCAGACGUCCGACUAUUGCGUGUCUUUGUUUCUCACUUUAAAUAUAAGCCAUUUAUGUGAUGUCGCUCAGACGUCCGACUGUGGCACGCACUGCCUUUAUUUUCUGAUAUAAGCCCUUUAUGUGGUGUCGCCCCGACGCCCGACUGUGGCAUUAAUAUUCUGCAGUUUCCUCUCGAGGAGUCAUUCAGACACUCGUUUGGCACCAGUAUUACCAUUCUUGCAGUUUCCUCUCGAGGAGUCAUUCAGACACUCGUUUGGCACCAGUACUACUAUUCUUGCAGUUUCCGCUCGAGGAGUUAUUCAGACCCUCGUUUGGCACCCAACAUUUAUUAUCUCUAUGUCUGAACGCACUGGUUAACUUGUUUAUAUGCUUCAUGUUUACAUUUGUUAUAUCUUAUGUCCGAACUGUCUUGCGAGUACUUUCAUAGUACUCACCUGGCUUGUUGAUUUGGCCAGAUGUUGACGAAGGCGAUCUUUUGGAUGAAGAGUUUGAUAGCGCGUCCGACGCCUAGAGGAGUCCCAGUCAGUCCUGCGCGAUCCCGGAUAUUGGUCACUUGUAUUAUAUACGCUUCCGCCACCCGCAAUAAGUCUCCUCGAGCCUCGCUUCGACGCUCGAAGAGCUGUAGUCUUCAGGAGUCAUAUCACUCGCUUCGCGGUGAUAUUUUCACCACGUUAUUAUCGUGAGUUAGUAGUUAUGCCACCCUAUCCGCCGUCUUGUUUUAUUGGCGUGCAUGUAAUAGAUUGUUGAGCAGUCUCCGCUCAACCUUGUAUUAUAUUCAGUACUCCUGGUAAUUUUCUUCUGUGACCAAGAUAUUGUCUACCAGUGGGAAGGGAUUCUUCCUUCUGGUCGGUAAAAGGGAUUGGUCUCUCAAUAAUUAUUUUAUUGAAAAACCGGUCGUGACACCAUAGGGUCUAUUAUGUAUGCCAUGCUGUCUGCCAGACCUGAUGUAAACCUUGCCGUAAGUUUGGUAGGAAGGUACCAAAGUAAUCCCUGCAUGGAACACUAGACAGCGGUCAAGAAUAUCCUGAAGUACCUGAAGAGGACUAAGGAUAUGUUUCUCGUUUAUGGAGGUGACGAAGAGCUCGUCGUAAAGGGUUACGUCGAUGCUAACUUCGACACAGAUCUGGAUGACUCGAAGUCACAAACCGGAUACGUGUAUAUUUUGAAUGGAGGGGCAGUAAGCUGGUGCAGUUGCAAGCAAAGCGUCGUGGCGGGAUCUACAUGUGAAGCGGAGUACAUGGCAGCCUCAGAGGCAGCGCAAGAAGCAAUCUGGAUGAAGGAGUUCAUUACCGACCUAGGGGUGAUUCCCAAUGCGUCGGGCCCGAUGACUCUCUUCUGUGACAACAUUGGAGCUAUUGCCCUUGCCAAGGAGCCCAUGUUUCACAGGAAGACCAGUCAUAUCAAGCGUCGCUUCAACUCCAUUCGUGAAAGUGUUCAAAAUGGAGACAUAGAUAUUUGUAAAGUACAUACGGACCUGAAUGUAGCAGAUCCGUUGACUAAACCUCUCCCUAGAGCAAAACAUGAUCAACACCAGAACGCUAUGGGUGUUCGAUUCAUCACAAUGUAACUAGAUUAUUGACUCUAGUGCAAGUGGGAGACUGUUGGAAAUAUGCCCUAGAGGCAAUAAUAAAUGGUUAUUAUUAUAUUUCCUUGUUCAUGAUAAUUGUCUAUUGUUCAUGCUAUAAUUGUGUUAUCCGGAAAUCGUAAUACAUGUGUGAAUACAUAGACCACAACAUGUACCUAGUAAGCCUCUAGUACACUAGCUCGUUGAUCAACAGAUAGUCAUGGUUUCCUGACUAUGGACAUUGGAUGUCAUUGAUAACGAGAUCACAUCAUUAGGAGAAUGAUGUGAUGGACAAGACCCAAUCCUAAGCAUAGCACAAAAGAUCGUGUAGUUCGUUUGCUAGAGCUUUUCCAAUGUCAAGUAUCAUUUCCUUAGACCAUGAGAUCGUGUAACUCCCGGAUGCCGUAGGAGUGCUUUGGGUGUACCAAACGUCACAACAUAACUGGGUGACUAUAAAGGUACACUACGGGUAUCUCUGAAAGUGUCUGUUGGGUUGACACGGAUCGAGACUGGGAUUUGUCACUCCGUAUGACAGAGAGGUAUCUCUGGGCCCACUCGGUAAUGCAUCAUCAUAAUGAGCUCAGGGUGACUAAGGAGUUAGCCACGGGAUCAUGCAUUACGGUAUGAGUAAAGAGACUUGCCGGUAACGAGAUUGAACAAGGUAUUGGGAUACCGACGAUCGAAUCUCGGGCAAGUAACGUACCGAUUGACAAAGGGAAUUGUAUACGGGAUUGAUUGAAUCCUCGACAUCGUGGUUCAUCCGAUGAGAUCAUUGUGGAACAUGUGGGAGCCAACAUGGGUAUCCAGAUCCCGCUGUUGGUUAUUGACCGGAGAGGCGUCUCGAUCAUGUCUGCAUGUCUCCCGAACCCGUAGGGUCUACACACUUAAGGUUCGGUGACGCUAGGGUUGUAGAGAUAUUAGUAUGCGGAAACCCGAAAGUUGUUCGGAGUCCCGGAUGAGAUCCCGGACGUCACGAGGAGUUCCGGAAUGGUCCGGAGGUGAAGAAUUAUAUAUAGGAAGUCCAGUUUCGGCCACCGGGAAAGUUUCGGGGGUUAUCGGUAUUGUACCGGGACCACCGGAAGGGUCUCGGGGGUCCACCGGGUGGGGCCACCUAUCCCGGAGGGCCCCAUGGGCUGAAGUGGGAAGGGAACCAGCCCUUAGUGGGCUGGGGCGCCCCCCUUGGGCCUCCCCCUGCGCCUAGGGUUGGAAACCCUAGGGGUGGGGGCGCCCCACUUGCCUUGGGGGGCAAGCCCCCCCCCUUGGCCGCCGCCCCCCCUCAGAUGGGAUCUCCAGGGUGGCCGGCGCCCCCCCAGGACCCCUAUAAAUAGUGGGGGAGAGGGAGGGCAGCAACAACACAGCCCCUGGCGCCUCCCUCUCCCCCUGCAACACCUCUCCCUCCCGCUUGUGCUUGGCGAAGCCCUGCCGGGAUCCCCGCUACUUCCACCACCACGCCGUCGUGCUGCUGGAUCUCCAUCAACCUCUCCUUCCCCCUUGCUGGAUCAAGAAGGAGGAGACGUCGCUGCUCCGUACGUGUGUUGAAGACGGAGGUGCCGUCCGUUCGGCACUCGGUCAUCGGUGAUUUGGAUCACGUCGAGUACGACUCCAUCAACCUCGUUCACUUGAACGCUUCCGCUCGCGAUCUACAAGGGUAUGUAGAUGCACUCCUUUCCCCUCGUUGCUAGUAUACUCCAUAGAUGGAUCUUGGUGAUGCGUAGGAAAUUUUAAAAUUCUGCUACGAUCCCCAACAAACGAGUCACCUUGUCGCAAUCCCUUCUUCGUUUGGAAAUAGUGUCCAACGUCACCAUUGACCUUAAUGGCAACACUACCCCCAUAAGCGAUGCUAUGGAUCAUAGCGCGCCACACUGCAAAAAAUCCUUUUAUUCUUAGAGUCUGUUGAAGAAAGGGCCACUUGACUUUGUCAUAAGCCUUUUCAAAGUCUAUUUUGAGUACCACCCCAUUCAACUUUUUUCGGUGUAACUCAUGGACUGUUUCAUGAAGGAUAACAACUCCAUCUAGGAUGUGUCUGCCUUGCAUAAAAUUUGUUUGUGAAGACGAACCACAUGUUCAGCAACCAAAUUUAGCCUAAUAAUUGCAACCUUCAUGAAUAUUUUCAAACUAACAUUAGGGAGGCAAAUAGGUCUGUAUUGUUGUAUCCUUUCAGCCUCAUUAACCUUAGGUAAUAAAAUAAUCUCACCGAAGUUUAAGCGACGCAAUUCUAGUUGGCCAGCAUGAAGAUCGCUAAACAAAAGUAGGAGAUCCAGUUUGAUGACUUCUUAGAAGUUCUGAUAUAACUCUACAGAAAAACCAUCCGGACCCGAGGCUUUGUUAUGCUCCAUUAGGAAAACCACCUUUCUAACUUCCUCCUCAGAGUAUGGGGUUGUUAGAAGGUUGUUUUCCUCAUCAAAGACCUGUGGGAUGUCAUAUGUUCGGGAUUCAUCCAUCGAGAAGUUUCCUUCCUCUGUUGCUCCUAACAGAUUUUUGUGAUAAUUAGUGAUGUAAGAUUUAAGUUGCUCAUGCCCCUCGAUCAUCCCCUCAUCCGGUUGCAGGGAAUGAAUAAUUUUCUUUCGGUGUCUGCCAUUGCUGACUUCAUGGAAAUAUCUAGUAUUUGAAUCACCUUUUAGGAUAAACUGAGAGUUAGAAUGUUGGUACCAUUUGAGUUCCUAUUCACAUAGCAUGCUAGCUAUCUGUGCAUUCGAAUGAUUCUUGAUCUCGAUUUCAUGCUCAGGUAGAGGUCUAACCUCUGCCAAAGCUUCUAAUUCAUCAAUGAUAGAUGAAAGACGAUGCUUAUCAUUUUCUAGGAUACCCACCGUAUGCCCAGCUCAUCCACCAAGGAAUUUACGUAAUGCAUGCAUUUUGUUAUUUCAUCUAUCUAUUGGGGUAGGCCCGACCACCGGUUUCACCCACACCUCCUUGACCAUGUCAUGGAAGCCAUCCUGAAGCAACCACCCAAGUUCGAACUUGAACUUGCAUCUAUGUUGUGGUCGUAGCAAAGCAGUAGUUAGGAGAAUGGGUGUGUGGUCUGAUGCCUCGAUACGAGGUAGAGCACGAACAGACACCAUAGGAAAUUUAGAUUUUUAGUCGGUAUCCAUUAAAAGUGAUCUACUUUCUCAUAUGUCGGUUCCAGAAGACUGUUUGCCCAAGUGAAUUGUCUAAGUGAAUUGUCUUCCAAUCAUGGAAACCUCUCACGGAUCUAGACUGUCGAUGACAACUUGGAAAGGAAAGGCCAAUGAUUUAUCAAAUCUACCACUGCUUUUCUCAUUUGGAAACCUAUAAGAAUGGGAUAGGGAUUAUCUUUCGGCAAAUUAAGAUCCAUUGGAGACAUACCUCCACAUGCCCAUCAAUGAUGCCAGUAGGACGGGGGGCAGGCAGGAAGAACCUUAUUCCAUCUUCAGGGAACUGCCGCCGUCUCGUCUUACAGGACACAAACCCUAACAUAACUCUGAAGAAACCUAUAAAAUCGGAGCCAUCCCGCCGGCAAGGGUCGGGAUCUGUCGCGCCCCCAUGACCCUAAGGCCACCGGAGACAAGGUGGACCGGCGGCGGCGUCGGCGGGAUAUAGAGGAGCCCUAGUCUCUUUUUUUGGGAGGAGGCAGCGGCUGUGCGUUGUCAAUCGUUGUUGCAACUUGUGGGAAAGUGAGAAGAAAGACUAUACGAUGCGCAUCAUGAAUCAGAUGGCUCGUGGGCCGGCUGGCUUUUAGAAAGACCUAGCACGCCCCUCCUUUUUGAAAAUCGCUAUGGAACCAAAAGCAAAUUGAGAUUCUCCUUUAUAUACAAAAUUAUCUAAUCAAAUUGAGAUGAGAUUUACUUAAAAGUAUUCCAUCUAUCCCCCUUUUCUCUUUUUGAAACAGAUGCCCUGGUAGACCGGGUGCAUGGUCCUGGCUCGAUUAACAACCCACAAAUCGUAGAGAGCAUUGAUUCCCGCGUACACCGGAUCCAGCAACCUCCUCUCCAGCGGCGGCCCACCGGUCAUGGUCUCUGCCCACAGAAACCAACCUGGCCAACGCUGGCGCCGACGGGUGGCCAGCCCACACGUGCGAAGCCCGGCCCCCGCACGUCAGCCUCCUCCCCUCCAACCACGUCCGCCAGGCCACCCCGAGCCGUCCAUCACGACCCCCGGCACGCCACCGGCCGUCCGAUGCGCCCCGGGGUUGUUCCACGCCCUCCCUCCGCUCCUCGUAUGCCCCGCCCGCCGCCGCCUAUAUAAGCCCCGCCUCCUCCCCCACCCCGAGCAGAUAAGAUCGAUCGAUCGCGGAGCGAGAGAGAGAGAAAAAAAAUCUUCUCGUCGGUAGGGUUUCGGGGGCUGCGAUGGCGAUGGAGGCGCGGAUGAAGGGGACGGUCAAGUGGUUCAACGACACCAAGGGGUUCGGCUUCAUCUCCCCCGACGACGGCAGCGAGGACCUCUUCGUGCACCAGUCCUCCAUCAAGGCCGACGGCUUCCGCUCGCUGGCCGAGGGCGAGGUGGUCGAGUUCGCCGUCUCGGAGGGCGACGACGGCCGCACCAAGGCCGUCGACGUCACCGGCCCCGACGGAUCCUUCGUGCAGGGCGGCGCGGGCGGCGGCGGGGGCGGCUUCGGAUCCCGCGGCGGCGGCGGAUCUCGCGGCGGCGGGGGCUUCGGCGGCCGCGGCGGGGACGGAUCUGGCGGGUACGGAGGUGGGUAUGGCGGUGGUGGCAGCGGCGGCUGGGGCGGCCAGAGGAGAUCCGGCGGUGGAGGCGCCGGUGGGGCCUGCUUCAAGUGCGGGGAGCCUGGCCACAUGGCCAGGGACUGCUCGGUCAACGGCCCCGCUGGUGGCGGCGGCGGCGGCGGCUGCUACAAGUGCGGCGAGCAAGGCCACAUCGCCAGGGACUGCUUCAACGGCGGCGCCGGCGGAGGAGGCGGCGGCUACGGCGGCGGCGGCGGCGGUAACUGCUACAGCUGCGGCGAGCCGGGCCACAUCGCGAGGGACUGCCCCACCAGCAGCGGCUUUGGCGGGGGCGGCGGCGGGAGGUUCGGCGGAGGAGGCGGCGGCGGCGGCGACCGCACCUGCUACCACUGCGGCGAGACCGGCCACAUCUCCCGCGACUGCACCAAGUGAGGGGAUAUCUCUGCCCCUCCCCCUCUAUAGAUUGCGCCUAAAUACCUCUCGUCUUAGUUUUGCCGAUCGAUCGAUCUGGGCCUGAGCGCCCAGCCGCAGCCGCCUCGCUUAUUUUAUCUUCCUCCCCCCUUCCGUUCUCGGAAUCCGUCCUAGGGGAAAGUCAGUCAGUCAGUCAGUCCGUGUGAUGGUUAAUUUUGCUAUGAAUUGGUCCUCUGGUACCCGUACCCGUACUCUCAGUUGAUGUCUAAGGUCGUGAUGAUGAUGGAUUAUUGGUGAUUUUUGUGUGGUGAUGAUGAGGAGAUUGCAACACAUCUCUGUUUUUUGGUUUCAUCGAUGAAGUAAAAGAUGCCGGUCGUUAUUAUCAUCCUCCAUGAGUGAAUGAAUGAAUUCUCUCUUGUCAGAUCAGAUCUCUGCUCUAGUGGUAGAACUAUUACCUCUGUCUGACAUCCUGUUUGUUAAUUGAUUAUGAUUAUGUUAAAGUAGAGUUUG
rnacentral:lncRNA from 1 species